rnacentral:lncRNA from 1 species
CUUGCGCAUUUGUGCACUUUGACGAAGAUAAUGUUUGUUUAUUUCGUUGUCUUCUAUUUGUUUCCCAGUGCCCUGUGAAACCUGCUUAUGAUUGGACUAAAUCCAGUUUAAAAAAUUCCUCGAUGGCUAAUUUCUUGUAUCUUUAUGUAGGCAUUUCCACGGGACUCCCCAUUGACCAUUGACUUAUCAACAGCAAUUUUAACACUAUCAGAAAAUGGAGAUCUCCAGAGACUUCAUGACAAGUGGGCUACGAAAAACUUGUGCACUACAGAUGAUACCAAGAUUGAAUCAAAGCGUCUUCACCUGAGAAGCUUCUGGGGCCUAUUUCUUAUAUGUGGGAUAGUUUGUUUUCUUGCUUUCGUUAUAUACUUGUGGCAGAUUAUUCACAAGUAUCGGGAAUCUGUCGCUGUUGAAUCUGCUUCUAAUGGACAGGUUAGCUCACAUUCUAGACGCCUUCAAACUUUAAUAUCAGUAAUUGAUGAGAAGAAGGAUCAAUCGAGAAGGGACAGAAAAAGAAGGAAGCUUGACCGAUGACAAUGUGCCGCUAAGUAAGAUGAAUGAACUGCCCAGAAACUCUGAAAGGAGACUACCUGAAAAUUCUUCUAAGAACAACAUAAUAAACUAGAGGAAGUGAAAUCUGUUCACUGGUUAAAAUACAUCUAUCUGUGUAAUUCAAUGUAAUGUCCUCGUGUUUGUAUCUUAUGUGAUGUCAUUAAUUAUGUGUAAAUAGGGAAAGUAUAAUGUAGAACGUAGACAGUCUUCAUCAAAAUGUAUAUAUGCAUUUAGAAAUUCGUUUUCUUGAAUGAAUAUGUUCAUGUAUGGCAACACAUUUAUUUUUUUCUUCUACUCUUUCUUUCAAGAAUUACGGGCACGAGCACUGGGGGUUGAAUGCAAAUAACAAACUGCCUAGUUAAUAGGCAUUAGCAUGUCUUAUUUAACAGAUACUCUCCUUGUAUGUUUUGCACAGGCGACUCUCCACUUCUCCUCUUUCCCUUUGCCAUAACCAUCAGCGCAUGCAUAUUGACAGCUUUAAUCAGAAUCCCAUUCUUGGAGGCCACCAUUGUGUACUUGAGUCAAAAUCUUGAUUUUUAACGAAAAAGAUGACAGAGAAAGUAAAGUCUGUUAAAAAACGAUGCAUGAUUAAAUUUACGGUUGCAUCACAAUUUAUAGAUUUGUCUACCAACAGAUGAUGUGAUGAAAUUUAAUUCGAUCAAAAUCUCAUCAACCAAAUAUAUAUUUAAAAAAAAAAAACACCUAGAUAAGAAUAAAGCAGGAUUAAAGGGGGAAAUAAAAAAAUAGUUGAGAAAAGUUGUUCGCCCAUUGAAGCGGUAGGUGAGCUGGAUUCAGAAUGUCGUGAGACAAUUCGGUUCAUGUCUGGCGUGGGCGUUAGAGCAUUGGGAGGACCUUUCCCUAGUAGGAGAGGACCGGAAAUGCUUUUGCAUAAACGUCCAAGUCGAUCAAUAAUAUCAUAAUCCAUUAAAUCAGCCCACCCUAUCCUACUAGUAUAGGAAAUCCUAUAUUUUACAUAUCCAUACGAUUGCGUCGUAUGACUUUCUUUUCGAUACCUUAUCAAUCUGUAAAUGAUGAUAUACAAUAAGUAUUUUCCAUGUCAUUUAAUCAGUUUCAAACCUGGGUCUUGAUCAUUAUUGUUAUGCUCAUGAUUUUUAUCAGUACAUUAUCGUUAUUAAUUGUGUAUUAGGGAAUGUAUAAUGUACAUCGUAGACAGCCAUGUAUGGCAACACAUAUAUUUUUCUUUCUUCCACUCUUUCUUUCAAGAAUUACGGGCAUCAACAUUAGGGGCUGAACAUAAAUAACAGAUACUCUUGUCGUAUGUCUUGCACAGGCGACUCACAUUUACUGGCCGUGAAAAUCUCGAUUUGUUUGCAUUGCCAAUAGCAAUCUAUCAUGCAAUGUGCAUUUUUAUUUCUGUCUUCUCCUUAUGCCAUAGCUAUCAAAGCACACAUAAUGACAGCAAUAAUCAAAUCCCAUUCUUGGAGGCUGAAGAUGAUGAAGAAGGUUUAUUUUUAAGAAGUGAUUUGAUUCUAAUGCAGUGAUGAUGUAAAAGGCUAUGGAUCUUCUCAACUAUUUAAGGAUAAGCCUGUUCAUAAAUGAUGCACAAUUUUUGCCCAUGUCUUCAAUUUUAACGUUUGAAAAGUAGAAAUUAAAAUAAAUAAAUAAAUAAAUUUUGCAAAUGUGAAAUAAAAUCAAUAAUUUCUUUUUUUUUAAAGUUUAAUUAUUGAUGUUAAUGUAUCAUUUCGUUAUGGUAUUUGCAUUUACAAAAUGAAUAUAAUUCUUUUCUUGAAAUGUCUUUUACAAAAUGAAUAUAAUUCUUUUCUUGAAAUGUCUUUUACAAAAUGAAUAUAAUUCUUUUCUUGAAAUGUCUUUUACAAAAUGAAUAUAAUUCUUUUCUUGAAAUGUCUUUUACAAAAUGAAUAUAAUUCUUUUCUUGAAAUGUCUUUUACAAAAUGAAUAUAAUUCUUUUCUUGAAAUGUCUUUUACAAAAUGAAUAUAAUUCUUUUCUUGAUAAUGUCUACUCUGAUACCAUCAUCUUGUUAAUUAAUUAAUAAAUUUCAAACUCGGUCAUAAUCAUUAUCGUUAUGCUCCUCUAAAUAUAAUUAAUAGAAGAUACAUCAGACAUUUUUAUUUUACAUUUUGCUAUAGGAAGUGAUAUUGUGUAACUAGCAAUCGUUUCACUAAACAUGAUUCUUAUAUACAGAAAAUAUGAUCAAAUCAAUAUUUAUGGCUUUUUUGACAUAUCAAUAUGUAAAUAAACCAAAUAGUAAGUCGAUUAAAUAAUUGUAAGACGAUGAACAAAUAAUUAAUAUACCAGUUUACUGUGACGAAAACCAGUCUGAUAUAUCAGGAAAAUGAAGACAUUCAUUCACUUUGUUAUUGUAUAAAGUCAUAUCAAAACUCCGGAAAAUCUACUAAGAACCGGAACUUGACCGCUUUCUCUCACAAAGACAUAUAAAAUGAAAAGAUUACGCAUUAAAAUGUGAUAAAGUUUUGUGAUGACUGUUAAACCCACGAAGGCAGAAACCCAUUUUGAGCAUCCACUGAUACUUUCCUUGUGUGUCUUCUUGCACAGGCAACUCUGCACCCGCUCUCACAAUCCCAGUGCGUAAAAAUGUCGAUUUGCAUGCAUUCGGAAUAGCACUCUAUCAUGCAAUGUGCAUUCGUAUUUCUCUCCGCCCCUUCUGCCAUUGCCAUCAGCAAAAAUGCGAACAUAAUGAAGGCGAUCAUCAGAAUCCUAUUAUUGGCAGCCAUUGUGUGCUUUUGCCAAAAAUCUUGAUUAUUAACAGCAAAGAUGAUGAAGAAAGUAUGUUUGUAAGAAUGGAUUCUAAUACACUGAUGUAAAAGGCCAAAUCUUUUCAUCUAUUUAUAGAUGAUGAAAGGGUGUCUGUUGCCAUUUUCGUGUCUUUUCAGUUUUCAGUUUCAGAAAGAACACGCCUGUUCAUAAAGGACAGUUAAAUUUAUGACCAUGAUCUGGUUUAUUAAUCGACUUGAAGAUUUUUUUAGUAAAUAAUCUUUUAGAAAUCAUUAUUAAUCAGUGAAAUUAAUAGUAUUUGUGACAACAUAAACCUUCGUACUUUCUCUCUCUCAUUAUGUUAUCUUCCGUUGACAUGGAUAUUUUACCUUUUUUCAGUUGAAAGGCAAACUCAUAGCGCAUCAAGCACUUGUUUCUCGGAUCUUAAGAUGGAGAAGGAAAAAAAUGUAUAGAUAGUAAACCAGAGAAAAAAGAGGGUGAAAGGCAAGAACACGCCUUUACCGCGAGAGGAGGUAGCGAAUCGAUGGCGUCCCCGAGGAGUUUCUGGUCAUCUUUGUGGCCGGCUACGGUGGAGGAGCUAACGUGCACCUUGUCAUCCCUCUCGAUAAUAUUAGCAUCUUUGUCGGCCAUUUGAAUCGGAGCUUGCCUCAUUGCAAGGCGACGGUUAUCCCUAACCUAAAGAAAAAAUAAGGAAAACGAUACCUACCGGCUUAUUCUACUCUUUUCCGAUAGGCCGAAAACCCAAAUUCUCCAAAACCCAAAAGAAGGAAUAGUGAUUCGGAGGACUAAAUUUUCUUGUUUUGUAUCACCAAAUUACGUGAUAUCCUAUUCCGCUGUCGUUUGAGGGAAUUCCGCUGUUUAGGAUCUUGAAAUUCCGUUUUUAAUCUGUUAAGAAGAUUUGUAUCGCACUGGAUUGCAGAAACCCAUGUGAAUUUCUUUAUUCAGAUUGGAAUUUCUAGGGGAAAGUCUGCUUUUCAAGAUGAGGGCGAUGUAAGGGUUUUUCAUUUUUCCUUAUUUUCAUGGAUUGUUCGGGUUAUUUCGAAAAUUUGAACUGGUAUACGUGUUUCUGAAGAGAAAUUUCUAAUAAUGUGCAUUGGAACUACAGAGCAGUAGCUCUUUCUUUGGGUUCUCUUAAAUUUUUUUCUUUUAUUUUUGUUAAUAGGCAUAGAUCUAAUUUAUUUGGAUUUGCGAAUAGACAACAUAUAUUUUUCUUUAACAGGCUGCUCCUUUUCUACCUAUUGAAAGGAGGGAUGUUUUACUUCCUGCCAGAAGUCAACAUACGGCCUGAUGAUGAUACAAAUUGAGUUAUUUCCAUAUACUGUAGUGUAAAGGUGCCUUUACUAAUGUUUACUAACGUUAAAUUGACAAUUUGAAAUCAUUUUUGUUGGUCAAUGUUCCUAUUUUAAUUGAAAACCACUCUUGAUAGUUAUCAAAUUUAUUCCCCUCAUGUGACAUUCCUAUCUCUCGAUGAAAGAUGCGAAUAUGAUAAAUGCAUUAAACGAGCUAGAACAUCUUUAAACAACCAUGUGAAUCAUAGAAGUAUAUAUCUCUAUCCUCUAUCGAACCUUACAAUGUUUAUUAUUUUGUGCUAAUGAUCGUAUUAUUACUUUCGAUAACAACAAAAUCCACAAUUAAUUCAACUAGUGGCCAACUAAUUGAAAAGUAUGAAAAACGAUACCAAACAUUCAAACAAAUUUAACGUCAAUUUAAUUAUUCAAAUUAAAAACUUCAUAAUAAGGGUUCAUCAUAUCCUGACAAUAAUGAUAUUAGCCAUGUAUGAUGUCGAAAUUAAACAAAUAAAGUUUGAACGACAUCAUCGAGUAAUUGACGAAGCUUGAUUAAUUUCCAAAGUGACGUUGCUGUGGUCACUUCUUUGUCGUCUUUGUGUUUGCCUUAUUUUCCGUCCAAAUUUGUUUGUGUAAUUCUCCCUUUUCCUCUCUCAGUCUGCGCGUGUAUAUAUAUGUGUAUAUAUGUCAGCCAGCACCCUCAAUUCUUGUCAUUUUGUCUCUCCAAAGCUGCCAAAUGUUUGUGUGUGUGUAUAUAUAUAUAUAUUGCAGCCCACUUUUUUCUUAUUUUCCUCCCACUGCCGAAUUCUCCCAGAGGCUGCCCUUUUUUUGUGUUUUUACAUAACUAAUUCAGUCUCCUUUUUCCAAUUCUCACAGCACGUCUGUCUUCCAAAUUUUGUACAGGCAGCAACCUUUUUUUCUUUACUCCAGCCACCGCCGUUUUUGUGUCUUAAUGUAUAUAUUUCCAGCAGGCAGCUCGUUUUCCUCCCUUCUUUAAAUUGUCUGCUCCUUCCUUACUGUGUGUGUAUGUAUGUUAAUGUUAUCUCCUCUUGGCUGCCUCCAAUGUGUGUAUAUAAAUAUAUAAACCAGCCUCUUUUUCAAUUUUCCCUAGCUGCCCAUUUUUUUCCCUUCUCUCAAGCAGCCACAAAUUUUCCUUUUUUUUUAAUUUUAUUUUUCGGGUUUACGUAAUUGUGUAUAUACUAGUCUAUUGCACGGACAGGAUUAUUUUGGACAUGAUAUUAGCGUUUUGAAUGUUGAUACGAAUUUACUGUUUCAAGAAGAAGCGAAUCAAUCUGUUAUAAAAAUAUCAUUUGAGGUAAGCUAUCUAUGAUGUUAAUUGGAAAGAUUCCAUAUAGUAAUUACAAAAAAAACUUAAAAAAUUGAAAUAGAAAAAAACAAUUUUUAUAAAAAAUUAUAAAUUGUCAAAAUAAGCCUUAGAUUUAUAUUUUAUUGGAAUUUAGGAAAUUUGAAUUCAGAUUUUCAAUCUUGUAAUAGACUUCAUUAAAAUUUAGAUUUUUUCAAUACUUGCGUGGAUUUCUAAAAUGUCUUUCUUGAAGAACUCAUAUAAAGUAAUAAUAAAUUAAAUUCUCUUUUUGGAAGGAGAGUUCUCCUAUCACGGAGAGGAACUCUCCUUUCAAGAAGAGAAAACUCUCAUUUUUAGAACAGUUUCUAAAAAGGAGAGUUUUCUCGUUUCUAACUUUCCUUGUUAGAAAUGAGACUCUCUGUGGAUAGAGAGAUUCGUUUCCGUGCACGAAAAUUAUUAUUUUUAAUGCAUAAUUAUAAUUUAAAUGUAUUAUGUUAAUAAUAUAAUUUUUGUUUUUGCAUUUAAAAUUCGUUUUAAUUUUUUUCUUUACUAUAAAAUUUAUCUUCUUCAGUUUUAAUGAAAUAAUAUGAAUAUUGUUUGUCUAAUUUUUAUAAUUUUAAUUAAUUUAUUUAUAUAAUAUUUUUUUGAGUUUGUUUUGCUCACAUUAUAAAUUCCUUUUUUCUUUUUAGUUGUUUUUUCUUUACGAUAAAACUUAUUUCUUUAAAUUUUAGUUCAAUAAAUUUUUUUUAUAUAUUCUUUGUUUAAUAUUUGUAAAUUUAAUUUUUUUAAUUUUUUUGUUUAAUUAAAUAAUAUUUAUAUAUUGUUUAAGAAAGUAAUUUGUUAAAUUUUGAAUUACUAAAUUUUACUUUUCAUUGUAUUCAUUUGAAUGAAAUAUUUAAAUUCUAUCAUAAUUUUUAAAUUUUUUAAAUAUUUUUUUUCUCUUGUUUGUUGCAUCAUAAAUUUUUAUUAUUUCUAAUUAAUUUAAAAACUGUAUUAUUUAGAAUGGAAAGAUAAUAAAGAAACUGAAAUAUGUACAACAAUUUAUUAAAGUCAAAAGCAGACAUGUAUUGUCAUUCGGUAGUAUUAUAACCGUAGUCUUUACCCAAAGGUAUACAAUUAGGGCCAUUAACGUAGAGAUAGAAAUAGGCUGAUCAUGUUACCUUCUUUAAAAAUUAUAAAAUAAAAUACUGCUGCCUAUUGUCACAAAAUUAAUGUAGAUGUUGUUUACUCAUGCUUUUUUUUGGAAGCGAUCACAGUGGUUUGAUCAUCAGUUUUAUAGCUCGUGUCAUUUUAUCAUCAUUUUUAUAGUUUGUGUGUUUUUUUUUUUUUUUUUUUUUUUUGGGUUUUGAUUUUGCUUCAGUAGGUAUGUUUGAUGGUUGGAAGAGAGACCUUUUUGCAUGUGGUAGAGUGAUUUCUUCAGCGGCUUUGGAAUUUUCAUUGAGUUGGCCAUCAACUCUGUUCUUGCCUUUUGCAUGUUUAUUGUCAGAAUUUUCUUUCAUUUCAGUUGGCAUGUUUGGAUCAUUUGGGAUAGUUGAAGAAUUCAUUUCAGUCGACGUGGAGGAAUUGAAUACAAAUAUGAUUUCGAAACGGUAUUCAGGUGGAUCGUAGCACUUUUCUGUCUUUUUAGGUAAAACAGCAUUUUCAUAUCACUUUCCAAUUUCAUGACAUCAUUGAAUUCUGUAUUUCACUCUUGUGAAGACAAAAUAUAUUUUUCAAUACAACGGCAUAUUUGUUGUGAAGAAAGAAAGUAUUAUUAAAGGAUGUCGGACGUGAUGUUUUAUGUUUUGAAGAUGGUCCAUUAUGGCAAUGGCAUCACUUUCCAAUAACACCUCUACUGCAUCUCCUAUGAUGGUUGCAUCUAAUGAACUAGAUUUGUCUUCAAGUUGAAUGAAAGCAUUUACCCUAAAAAAAAAAAUUUUCAGCUAUAAUUUAUGUACCUUGUUCAUGAAGUAAUUAUUAGUAAAAUUUGAACUUAUGUGUAAUGGAAGAAGUUAUCUUGGGAUAGCUUUUGCGUGUUCAUAUUUACAAAAACGACAUUUAUGAAUUUCUUCAAAGUUUGCGUUGGACGUAUUCUUGUAGUUGUUGCACGACAUAUACCAAAAUCUUUUGUUUCUUGAUGCUAUUUUUCAGUUUGCUCUCAUCCAGUAGAAUUUUUUUUGUUAAAACAUAUGUCUUCUGUAAUUAGAUAGGGAGAUAGUACGAAGGAAAAUGUGUGUUGUUGCUAUAUUGUGCGUUAUGAAAUAUUGAGAGAAUGUUUUCCCGAGUAUAAAAUUACUGUUAGGUAGACUUCUAGUAAAUCCUCAAUUGGUGUCAAUUCAUUCUUAGUUGGAGGAGAAAGUUUUGGUGGACUGGCAGCAAUAAAAUGCUUAUUUUCUGUCAUCUUGUCAAGUGUUUCUUUGUUAGCUUUAACCUUGCAAUAAAUAAUGACAAAUUUAGUUUUAAAAUACUUCUCUUUUUGUUGUUGUUGUUGUUGUUUUUUUUUUUUUUUUUUUUUUUUGUACAAGAAGCUGUAAAAGCAAAAUGUGUGUUGUGUAUGUUGUGAUACCAUUCUUUGUAUUCUACAAUGGCCAGUAGUUGAACGUUAAUGAAAAAAUUGCUAUUUACUUUGGUUGAAAGUGUGAUGCCUGUAGAAAAGAAAUUAGGAAUUAUUUAUAUGACUUUUUUUCCUUAAAAAAAUCAUAAUAGCAUUAUAGAUGAAGUUGUAUUUGUAAAAUGUAUUUACCGUUGAAAGAAAAAACCUUGAGAUUUGUAGCCCAUAUGACGAGUUUAUUUGUAAGGUUUUCAAUUAUUGUAGUGCAUUCCUAUUCGACAAAGCUGUCGUACAAAGUUAGCAUCAGAGUUUUGAACUAUUUGUCUAUCAAGAUAACAUCUUGUAGAUAGGCUUGUGUACCAAAGUUAGUUUGAAUAAGUCGUUUAUGUUGAACAGCUAUAGGGAGGCCCAUCACACCUACGAGAAGGUCACGUAAAGUGUUCUUUUUUUUUUUUUUGUAUUUUUGCAUGGAAUAAAUUUGAACGUAAAAAAUAAACUACGAAACAUUAUAUGAAAUGAUUAGUUUAAGUUGAAUAUGUUAGAAAUCUUACUUAUGUCUGUAUUCUUGACCAUAUGCCUCUCUAGUUGAUCAAAUGGAGUGAGUUCAUAUUUUGAGAAUAGAAGAUUCAAGUUAUCCUCAUUUAAUUUCUCAACCUUCAUUCUACUUGUUAUAUUCCAAAUUUUUUGACUCGGAGAACUCCGAAAUUCACUUUUGAAAUCUUUAACGGUUGCGUUUGAGACAAUGUAUGUUUUUCCAAGUUGGAACUCAUCCUUUAGUGCAAUGAUAUUGGCAUCGUACAUUGUUGCUGUCACUCUGUUUCCCUGAUGAACAUUAGAAAAGUAUGAAGAUAUUUAUGAAACACAUAGGUAUAGUGAUAAGCAGAAAAUUAUUGGAACGAAAAAUAUAUAUACCUCUAAAUCCAUGAGAGUAAGAUUUUGGUAACGGCUGUUGGAAUUUCGUGCAGUCUUUGGGGAUUGUUUUCCUGCCACGAUAACUUUUGCUGUCCUAUUUAAAUAAGUUGAAGCAUUGUGUUAGCCUAUUUAUAGAAUCUCAAACUGAGACGUAAUGGUUUAAUAAAUAUUUUAAUUUUGGGGACGUGAUAUUGGAAAGAUGAGGUGAAAGUAUUAAUAUGUCCAUGUUAUCAUCAAUUAUAAAAAAAAAAGAACGUGUAGAUGGCAUAAAGACUCAAUACAAACUGAAUAGUUUUUUUUUUUUUUAUGUUGAAAACUAAUAAAAUCAUUUACGUAGUAAAAUCUUAUCAAUAGCCAUACCUUAUUGUCUAAAUAGCCAUGCUUAACUAUCUAAUUACUGACAUAAGAAAUGGAAAUUACUUUAAAUUUUAUUUAUAGUACAAGAAUGACUGCAAUAGAAUUGAGGAUUAUUUCCUUAGUUCUUAUUACUUUGUUAUAUAUAUUAUAUAAAACUAAUAAACGUAAAAGUUUGGAAUAUGCAUAAGAUAUGGGAACUACUUAAAAUAGUACGUAAAUGGUGUUCAUGGAAUAAUUGAGUUAGUAAAACACUUAAUAAAUUAUCGAAUAGACAUUGGGAAGUAAAGUUUUACUAUAGCAGAGGAAUAGCUUAUAAUCCAGUAUAAAUCACAUAGAAAAAAAUUUACAUUUUGAGGAAAAAAAAGCUACAAAUUAAUUCAUUUGAUUUAAAUAAUAUGUAAAUAUAUAAAUAAAUACAUGUAUAAUAAAUAAUAAAACAAGUAAAAUAAAGUGUAAAUUAUUUAUCUAUAAAGCCUUUUAUUGCCACACGUAUAUGUUUAUUUUAAUUUCAAACUUUUUAAUUUCAUUCCUAUCCUUAUCUUUUUCUCUAUCUUAAAACCUAGAUCUCAAACUUUUCAUCUCAAAACCUAGAUUUCAAAUUGCAAGUAGAAGAAAUCACCACCCAAACGUAAGCAUUUAGUUGCAAAAUUUAUUUCAUUACUUAGGUGAGGCCACCGUGCACGGUGGUCUCCUCCCUUCGUGCACGGUGGCCUUUUGCAGAGCCCCGCUGACGUGUACGGAGGCCUAUGGUCCUACUCCAAAAAACAUGGCCUCCGUGUACGGAGGGAUAUGAUCCCCCAUGCAUGGGGGCAACAUCCCUCUGUUCACGGAGAGAUAUAUACCCGCGUGCACGGGGGAUUAUAUCCCUUUAUGCACGGAGAGUGAGUAUGUAACAUUUAUUUGGGAAAAAAAAAACAUGGGUGAGUUUUGAAUGUGAAGAGCUCCUUCCGCAUCCUUUGAUUUUUUAGUAUAUUAGCUAUGUAUGUUGCAUGGUUCUAAUCAAGUUUCGAAAUGUUUGAAACUUUGAAGUGUUUAUUACUAUUGUCUCUCUUGCAUUGUUUGUUUAACUUGAGAAACGAUAAUAAUAUGACAUAUGCUGUAAGCAUAUCAGCACUUAAAUUUCAGUAGGAAAAUUUUGCUCAAUAAGAUUGGGCUGGAGGGAAUAUAGCGUUGUAGCUUGUUUUCUCUAGCUUUGAGAUGGAAUAAGUAGUAAAGGAUUGCUUGUCACAUGGAAACAAAGUAUUGAAUAUUCCAUUUUGACCACUAUGUAACCCAAACAACAACAUAACUGAGUUUCAUUCCCAAUAAAUUCAAAGUUGGUUGCAUGAACCCUUUUUUUGCCUUUCUGUUUGGUUUUUUGUUUGAACAAAGUUUUAUGCUCCAAUCAAUCAAUUACAUAUAGAAAAGUUACCCUUUUAUUGUGUUCCUAUAAAUUUAAUUUUAAAACUCGUAAAUGAUAUGAUUGUACUCAUUUGAGAAAUAGACAGUUUUUUAUUGAAAUUGCUAUUAUAGUAUUGUUUAGUAUCUUUACUUUAAAGAUGUUCCUAUCCUACAUUAAAUGUCGAUGCAAUAUUUUGUUCGACAGUGUCUUCGUGUGAUUGAUUUUGUUAUUGGGAUGUGCGUUGAUUAAUUAAGUACAAUGUUAUAAGUUCUCUAUUUUAGAAUUUCUUAAAUUUGCUUACAUUUUUUUUGAAUUAUUUAUGCAGAUGUCUUUGGAAUAUAUAUUUUCUCCAAAUCAAUGGUUUUCAGCGACCAUCACUCAAUAUCCAAAUCGUGAGUACCUUAAAGAUUUUAUGGAGUUUAUAGAUUCAAAUCAUCAAUGCUCUGUAAUGUGCAGUAAUUUUUAUGGUUUUAUGUACGAAGUUUUUUUUUUUUUUUUUUUUUUUUUUUUUUUUUUUUUUGGGGGGUUUUUUUUUUUUUUUUUUUUUUUUUUUUUUUUUUAUAUAGAGGAGGAGAUGAGCAAUUUAGUAGUAGAUUGGUACAUGAAUUUGUAUUGCGGCUUGUACAUUGUGGUAAGAAUAAUAAAGUUUGGGUAAAAUUAGAGGACCAUAUUGCUAGGUUUGGUAUGCAAGAAUUUUGUCUUAUCACUGGAUUAACUUGUUAUGAACCGGUCAUGGAGAUUGAUUAUAAUAACAAUCGUCUUAGAAAUCAAUACUUUCAUAGUAAUCAAAGAAUUAGCAUGAGAAUGCUCUUUGAAGUUUUCUAUCAAUGUCAGGAUGAAGUUGAUAAAUUUAAGCUAGGAUUAGUUAUGUUGGUGGAGUGUGUUAUGAAACCAGUUGGAAGAAUUAUUGAUUGUAAAACUCUUGGCAUGGUCGAACACCUCAAUGAAUUUCUUGCAUAUCCAUGGGGUCGGAAAGCAUACUUUAUUUUGUUAAAUUCACUACAAGAAUCUCAAUUACAAAGAGCACAAAGUGUACAACAGAACGAACAAACAGAUUGCAAGUAUGCACUACCAGGGUAUCCACUUGCAUUCCAGGUAUAUUUUUUAUAUUUUUUUAUUCCUCAUUUGGCUUAAUUUAUUUUUCCAAAAAUAAUAAUUGUAAUUUGUAAUUGCGUUGCAGUAUUGGAUAUACGAGAUGUUUUCAGAAAUUGGAAAAAAAUUUGGACGUCGUCGAUAUAAAACAAUGCAAAGUUCAAGAAUGUAUAAGUGGCGGCAUAAUAAAAUUUUGAUUGAAACAAUGGUUAAGCAUUUUCUGACUACUCAAGAGGUAUGAUUUGUUUAAUGAAUGUAUAAUUACAUUUGUAUUUAAUUAUUUCAAAAGAAGAUCUAAUAAAAUGAUUAUGAUAUUUUAUUACAAUUACAGUUCAGGUGAUUGCAGUGUUACACCCUACUGAAGAAGAAUUGGAAACGCCUUGGUACAUAAAUCUUUCAUUGCCUGGUGACACUCAACGUAGUGUAUUAGAUGGCAUUGUCAAUGGACAAUUGGAUAAUGUGGCACAACAAAUCCCCGACAACACUUAUGAGCAAGAGAGGGAUACUAUAUAUGAGAGAGGACCAUUCUUAGUACCUCAAGAACUUCACCAGCAGUCGAGCCAAAUUCAAGAUUCAACACGUCCAAUUAUGUAACUGAAGACCGAAUGGUAGAACUGUUGGGUUUCCAAACGCAAGAUAUAAUACAAAAUGUGUACGAUAUAUGUGGCAAUUUGAGAACAGAAAUCUACGACAACCAGAGAUAGCUCUUCGAACAAUAUCGAAAAUGGCAAGAAGAUCACCUGCAAUCUAACUUGCGUUCCUACAUGGACACUUCAUUGUCAAGUUUCUUUAACACACAAUUGGAGAAAGACGAACAAUUAUUCUAACAACAACAAAAAUGCCAAGAAGAUCAUUACCAGACCAUGCACUCUUAUGUGGAUACCAGUCUAGAUUCCAUACAAUAUUAUGUUCAUGAACAAAAUAAGAAUACGCUGCAAAAGUUUUUUAACUGGCAAUCAAAUAUGGAAGCCACUAUAAGUUGUAUGCAACAAGACGUUCCUAUUGAUAGAGAUUCAAUUCCUGAUGAUCAACCAAAUGAUAUUUCAACGUCUCAACAGGUUGAAAGUGUUGAAACACUGCAAAGAGAGAGGAAAAAGAAGGGAAAGCAGAUACAAACUUCGCUAUCUACAAGAAGUCAUUUGGAAGACUAUUCUAUGGAAAAGUACAAGACACUUAGAAACUGGAUAGUGAACAAUGAACCGAGGUAGCCAAGACAAUUCUUUAUUACUAGCCCAAAUAGUCAAAUAUAAUUUAGAUUUAUUCAACACUAAUUCUAAGGUAAUUAUAUGCAGUGUAUUAUUGGAAGAUAGUGCUGGGAACAUGUAUGGAAGAGAUUGGUUGAAAAAUUUAUUGGAUCAAACAACAGAUAUAAAUGUUGCGGUGAGUAAAGUUUAGGUAUUACAUUUAAUUUCAUUCUAUACCUAACAUAUUAAAUUUGUCUCUAUUUAUUCCAUCAGGCAAUUGAGUUGGAUUUGAAGUUCUUAAGGCGACUCAUUAAUGAUGGUUGCACCCUCGUGUCUAAAGAAUAUGUCAUCGUGGACUUUAAAUUUAAAAAUGAAUGUGCUAAUAUGCUACUUUGGCAAGGGGAUUAUGUCGUGAGAACUGAAAAAAGUUGUACCAGACGGAACUGUUCUAAACCAAUAUGCACGGUCAAUUGCCUGUAGAGAGUUGUCCAUAGGUAAGGUGUAACUAUUUAUUAAUUCCUUGCUCAUAUUCGGGGAAUACUUGAUACCUUUUUUUAGUCAAUAUUCUGGAGUGGAAAUUCCAGAUAUAUGACUGCAGAUCAAGUGAAGGCACAUGCGAAUGCAACACUUACCGUGGUCAAUUCUUUAUUGCUCGACAAAGCUUUUGCUGUGAGACGAGAUAUAAGGAAACAUAGAAAUAAAGAUCUGAAGCAAGAGAUCAUACAAUACCUACCUUGUGCAAACAACAGGUAAGCGGUAAAAAAAUUUCUUAUUUAAUAUAGUGUAUAAUUAUUCGUAUGUAAUAAUUUAGUAUAACAUACAAUAUUUCUUUUACAGGCUGAACUGUGGAGUCUGUGCGCUUAAAUAUAUAGAAAGCUUUGUUUUGGGGCAUCUAUUGGAAUCCGUCUCACCAGAUAAGAUGACUAUAUAUAGAUGAAAAAUUGCAGUUGAUGUAUGUAAUAAUGAAUAUUUUCUUCAUCCCCGUUAGUCUCUCUGAUUGUACUGUAAUGUAAUUCACUGAUUGUAACGGAGUAUGUCAAUGACUAAUCAUAAUAUACUCUAUUGAAGUGUUACAUAUUUUUGGUAGUUGUCUAUAACCCGUCGAUAUUUUCAGAUUAUUAAAUAUUCAUGUUAAAAUGAUGUAAUGAAAAGGAAAAGAAAUUGUAAAAAGAAGAAGAAUUCAUAUCUGGACAAGAUAUCAUACCUAAAAAAUUUUCGUCCAUAAUUUGUCCUUUUAAUGGAAUCAUAAGUUUAGAAUUGUAAUUAUGUCAAUUUCAUUUCAAAACUGUAUAAUAAUUGUUUUCUAUUUUUGACUGAAUCUUUUAGUUUCUGUUCUUUAUAAUAUUGAUUGAAUUGAAUUAUUAAAUAUUGAGCUGGAUGAAGUGAAGUUGCACGUGAAAAUGGAAAAAUAUCGUAGUUCAGGCGAUGAUUGUAGUGAAAUGGCGUGUGAAAAUGGUGAAAUGAUUAUUAAAUAUUGUUUCCAAUCUAUCAUACAUGCUUUUAUGUGACAGAGAACUCUUUCUCCACAUUUUCACACUAUCAAGUAUUGAACAUAUCUUACUAUUUUAUUAGUAAUAAAUUUUUUUUUUGAAACAUUUUUUUUUAUAUAAAAGUUAUUCUUUAUUUUUAAAAUGUAAACAGUUAGUCAUAACUAAAAAUACCACUUCAUAUUAUUCAAAAGUAAAACGAACUUAUAAUUGUAAAAAUUACUUAUAAGCAAAAAAAUAUUAACUUCAAAAUUUUUAAGUAUAAAUAUUUAGUUAUAGUUAGUUUAGUAAAUUAAAUAUUAAUAAAAAGAUUAGAUAUGUAGAAUGUAAAAAGUUAUUUAUUAAUAAAAGAAGUACAUAAAGUUAUUUAGCAGUAAUAAAAAAACUUAUAUAGUCAUGAAAGCUACUUAUAGUUAAAAAAAAAAAAAAAUUGUUUUGAUGGUCACGUGCUUCAAUAAAAAUAUGUAUAGAAACACUAUAUAUUAAGUAGGUGGUUACGUGUUUUAAUAAUUUCUUUUUUCUGUAAUACUUGUUUUUGAGAAAAGUGAGAUUAGUUCUUUUCAGUAAUAAUGUGUCUACUUUUGUAAUUCGUGAACCUGUUUCAGUAAUAAUUUCUCUAUUUCCACUAUCUGUGAACAUCAUGUCAAAUCUAAAUAGAAAAGAAAAAUAAAUUUUAUAUAGCCUAUAUUCUUGUAUUUCCGAUAUUUACUUACACGAAUUAUAAGUAUAGACAUUUAGAUAUGGUUAGUUUAGUAAAUUAAAUAAUAAUAAAAAAUUACAUCGUAAAAAAUGACUUAUAAGUAAAAGAAGCACAUAAAGUAAUUUAAAAGUAAUUACAAAAACUUAUAAUUGUAAAAGCUACUUAUAUUUAAAAAAAAUAUUAAUCUCACCUUCUCUUACAAUUGCAAAAGCUACUUAUACGUAAAAAAAAAUUAACUUAAAAACUUGUUAAGUAUAAAUAUUUAGUUGCUUAAAUUAAACAUUGAUUAAAAAAAAAGACUUUAUCUAGAAUGUAAAAAGUUAGUAAAAAAAAAUUACUAUCUAGAAUGUAAAAAGUUAGUAAAAAAAAAUUACAACGAGUUAUUUAAAAGUAUUAAUAAGAAUACUUAUAAUUGUAAAAGCUACUUAUGAAUAAAAAUUAUUAAUUUCAACAUUAAUAAGCAAAAAUUUAACUAUAUUUAAUUUAAAAAGAUUGGAUAAUAAAAAAAAUUACUAUAAUAAUAAUAAUAAUAAUAAUAAUAAUAAUAAUAAUAAUAAUAAUAAUAAUAAUAAUAAUAAUAAUAGAAAAAAAGGUAAUUGACGUUAACACUCCGUGCACGAUGUAAGCUACACUCUGUGUAUGGAGUGGAACCACUCCGUGCACAGAGUAAAUUUGUUUAUGUCUAAUUUUUUUCUUUUUGUCAUUUGUUUGUUAUUAAUUAAUUUUAAAAAUUUAAGUUCAAAAUGUUUACGUUAAUAUUUUUAUUUAUCUAUAAAUAGUUUCGGUAAUUGUAGGUUUUUUUUUUAUUUAUACUUAACUUUUUACAUUCUACAUAGUGUCAUUUUUUAUUAAUAUAUUUAAUUUUGAAAACUAAAUAUAUCUAAAUAUUUAUACUUAAAAAAAUUUUAAGUUAAUAUUUUUUUAUUUGUAAGUACCUUUUGCUAUAAGAGAAGGAGGGAUUAAUAUUUUGUUACCUAUAAGUUAUGCACAAAAUUUAACUUGUCAAAAAUAUAACUUUUUUUUUUUAUAUACAAAAAAAUAAUUUAUACAAAUUUCUGAUAUUAAGUAGGUUAUCACGUGAUUCAAUAAUUUCUUUCUUCUGUAAUAGUAGUUUUUGGGCAGAGUGAGAUCAGUUAUUUUCGAUAAUAAUUUGUUUAUUUUUGCAAUCCAUGAACCUGUUUCAGUAAUAAUUUGUCCAUUUUUACUAUUCAUGAGUCUUUUGUCAAAUCUAAAUAGAAAGAAAAAGUAGAUUUUAUUAAUCCUAUAUAGUUUCUUCUGUUUUCGAUAUUUACUUACAUGAAUUUUUUGUCUUUCAAAUUUUCAUAUCUUACUCCAGGCUUGCCGGUGCUUCACUCAAACAGGUUCUUAUCUAUUUACUCUCUCAAAACUGAAAUUUUGUAGUUUUAAGUUACAAUUUGUUCAAGAAUUGAUUGACUUUUACCAAAAAAUGUAGAUACACAUAAUUUGUUAUUAUUCUUGCUAUAAUGUUAUAAAAACUUACCUAUAUAUAUAUUAUUUAUGUCAAAAUUAUUCUACUACAACUUUUCAAAAUGGACAUUCUACGUCGUUUUUACAUAAUCAUCGGUAAUUCACUAAAUUAUGGCAUUACUCUGGUUAGUCAUACAAUAAUGUUUUUUUUUGUACUAUAAUAAAUUUUUACUAAUAUAUUACAUAAAUUUUUUCUUAUGUAUAUAAAUAGAUGAUGCCUAAAUCUUUUGAAAAAUACUGGAGACACGAAUUCGGUGAUACCGUACGAGUAAUUGCAUAUGAUGGUAUAGUUGCGACCAUCAGAUUAAAAGAAGUUAGUGGGAAAAUAUAUCUAACUCAUGGAUGUGAGCAAUUUUUCGACCAUCACAAUUUACAUGAUGGUUAUUGUCUGAUAUUUGAGUAUAUUGGAAAUUCCACAUUCAACAUAACUAUAAUUGACGAUUUUGGGUUAGAAGUGAAAUAUGACUCAAACGUUCUAGAAGAAGGUGAAGAAAACAACAAUUCAAAUACGCAUAGUCCUCUUUUCGAAGUAAAGUUAACACCCCGUCGACACAGCCACUGGAAAAUUGUAAUGUUUUUUUUGGAUAUUUCAGUCUACAUUUGUGCUCAGUCUGUAAUUAUGACUACAAGACUAAUAAUAUGUUCAUCGUUCUGCAGUGUGUACCGGAAAGAUUUGCCAGGUAGCAUUUGCCAAAAUUCGUGCACAACGUUCAAAUUCACAACUCUUUACAUCAUAAUUGGGAUAUCAUCACAAAUUUAAGGCCAAAUGGUGAAAUACGCUGUCUUACUAUAGGCUGGGCACAUUUUCUCUCCUUCAAGGAAUUACAAAUGGGUGAUACAUGCGUAUUUGAACUACUAAACAAAGAACUUCCGAAAUUUUUGAUCUACAAAAAAGACCACAUCGAUGGAAGUUUGACACAACUAUGAGAAUUUUUAAUUUUAACUUGUUUUAGGUUUUAUUUAUUCCUGUAUAUAAUGAUAAUAUUUUCUAAACAAUGUUCAUGUUAAUCUAAUUUUUUAGUAGUCAAUCUGAUUUCAUUUACCUUUCUUAUGUGUCUAUAUAUUCUAUUUACAUUUAAGUAACUUUUAAUUCUGCACAACUAAAGACUACAACACCAUUUCCUAUUUUCAGCUGAAGAUAAUGUCCCGUACAAAAUGACCGUAAAUUCAUUCCAAUAUAACAAAUCAAUAUCCAACAUAAAACAGUAAAAAAGUAACAAAUAGAAUAAAAUUUGAAAGCCGAUUUUUCUUUAACUAAUAUAUGUUGUUACUACCACCAACAACGAACUACACAUAUACCCCUUAGCACAAUAUUUUUGACGUCUCUCUGCAAAUUUUAAAAAAAGUUCUAUACAUACACAAAGAAAUCUUCAAAAAUAGCAAGAAUUGAAGUAUGAGUAAAAAAAAAUGUUCAAAUUUUGGGCUCUAAUUUGGAGUGGACUCAACACAUACAUAGAGGACAGUAAAGAAUUGCAUAGAAGAUCUUUUCGACCUCUGUUUGACUUUGUUUUAGUGUGUUUAGAUGUUGUUUGGAAGAGAGGUCUAUUUGCUAAAGCCACAACGAUUUGUUUUAUGUUUGUGGAUACAUGAGCAUCUGUAUUUUGCAUUAUAUUUGCCUUCUGGGUUCGUUGUCUUCAAAUCGAUGUUCAUUUGACUUGAAUUCUCCACGCAACUGCUUAUAGUUGAAACAUUUACUUCAGUCAUUGUAUUUAAGAAAUCCACAUUAGUACGAGAUAUAUCAUAGCAUUGAAGACAACAAAAAAAUUCAUAAUGAUACUCAGGGGAUCCUUUUUUCAUGAAGAUUUGACUAUCAUGAAUUUAAAUGAAAUCUAUAAGAUGAAAUUAAAGGAUGACAAAGUUAGAACAAUGGAAGCAUACCUAAUGUUUGGACAACGAACAAAAGAUAUACUAUCUCGUCGCGUUUGAAUUCUCGCUGAUAGUCGCUGCAAUAUAUAAAGUAUGAAAAUCAGUAGAACAAGUGUACAAUCAUACAUUUUGACUUUGAACCGAAUGGAAUGUCAAAUUUAAUAAACUGAUAGUGGAAAAAACUUAGUUAAAGCAAUCUAAUACUCCCAUUUUUCUAGAAAAAAAUUGCCAUUUCAUGUAGGACAGCCGUCGGAGAAGUCAUAGACAAAGAGAAAAAUUGCAAUAUAUUUAACAUAUACCUACGAGAAAGUUGCAGUUCUAUGGAUGUACAGACAAAAGAACUUCCUUGUACACAACAUUUUUAUUACAUAAGUUGUGUGUAUCAUUUGAGUUCGACGGUUUCAGUAGAACUUUUAUAGAUUUGCUUGUUUUUGCUCUCGAUAAUGCUAUAUAUAACUGACCAUGCAAAAAACUAGUUCUGGAAGAUAUAAACCUACGAAAUCAAGUGUUUGACCCUGGGCUUUAUUUAUUGUCAUUGCAAAGCACGGUCUGAUUGAGAACUGAAUCCUUUUAAAUGGAAUUGUAGUUCGAUCAGUUUUAAGAGGCAUAAAUGAGAUCCUAGGUAAGAAAGCUUAUUUUUCACGAUAUUCACCAGUUGUGUUUUCAGCAAAAAUAACUUUUCUCUCAAAUUUUAGACAAGUAAGGCGUGUUCUAUUGCAUAACCCCUCGGAAGGAUUGAUAUUCCAUAAUAACAUUACAAGACAAUUCAUCUUAAGUUUCAAAUCAUGAGGUGGAAUACCAUUUGGUAUCAAAGUAUUCAAGAAGUCUUCCUGUAGGCUUUGUUCUGAUUUCUCCAUUGCUUCAUCGAAACUAUAGUACGAGAAACUUUGACCAGAAAUUUGUUCAAGCAAAAGUCCAUUAAUAUAGUCCACAGAUUCAUUUGUAAGCGUAAGAAUAACACGAGUCACCAAUGUAUGUAAAUGAUCGGCAUAUGCUUCUAUAUUAGGAAAAACACAAUGUAUCAAAUGUUUUAAAGACGUAAUUUCAUCUUGGAACGGUAAAACUAUACUAUUUGGUAGCUUAAUACAUUUACAAGUAUGUUUUUGUUCAAUUCCAUCUCCAAUUGUAAGCAAGUAUUCACAAAACAUGGGAUCGAACUUCGCUCUCAUAUUUUCAACCAAUGACAAAUGUAAGAAAAAAGGUCAUAAAUAUGAGAAAAUCAGGCUUGCUUUGACUAUGUCUUCUUUGUUUCCUUUCGGUACAACUAGUAAAACCUGUCUAAAAUCUCCUCCAAAAACUACUACUUUUCCACCAAAAGAUAAGUUAUAAUCAGUAAUAUCUCUAAGUAUUUUAUCUACAGUUUCUAUAGUACAAUGAUGUACCAUAUGCGCCUUAUUCCAAAUUAUUAGCCUUGACAUUUUCAAUAAAGUUCCCAAGGUCGAUUGUUUGCUAACAGAGCAGUUAACUUCUCCUUUAGUUUCUAAAGGGAUUUUAAAUCUUGAAUGAGCAGUUCGACCUCCAGGUAAUAGAGAUGCAGCCACUCCAGAGGACGUAGUUGCCAAAGCAAUUAAAUAUCGACAUCUCACACCAGCUAGUAGCGCUCUAUACAAAAAAGUCUUACUUGUCUCGCCUGGACAUCAAUGAAAAAAGUGCCACUUCAUUCAGCUUCUACUAUUUCCAUAAUCAUAUUAUAAGCAAACUGUUGUUCUUUAUUUAAUGUCGCUGCAAAACUAAAACCUNNNNNNNNNNNNNNNNNNNNNNNNNNNNNNNNNNNNNNNNNNNNNNNNNNNNNNNNNNNNNNNNNNNNNNNNNNNNNNNNNNNNNNNNNNNNNNNNNNNNNNNNNNNNNNNNNNNNNNNNNNNNNNNNNNNNNNNNNNNNNNNNNNNNNNNNNNNNNNNNNNNNNNNNNNNNNNNNNNNNNNNNNNNNNNNNNNNNNNNNNNNNNNNNNNNNNNNNNNNNNNNNNNNNNNNNNNNNNNNNNNNNNNNNNNNNNNNNNNNNNNNNNNNNNNNNNNNNNNNNNNNNNNNNNNNNNNNNNNNNNNNNNNNNNNNNNNNNNNNNNNNNNNNNNNNNNNNNNNNNNNNNNNNNNNNNNNNNNNNNNNNNNNNNNNNNNNNNNNNNNNNNNNNNNNNNNNNNNNNNNNNNNNNNNNNNNNNNNNNNNNNNNNNNNNNNNNNNNNNNNNNNNNNNNNNNNNNNNNNNNNNNNNNNNNNNNNNNNNNNNNNNNNNNNNNNNNNNNNNNNNNNNNNNNNNNNNNNNNNNNNNNNNNNNNNNNNNNNNNNNNNNNNNNNNNNNNNNNNNNNNNNNNNNNNNNNNNNNNNNNNNNNNNNNNNNNNNNNNNNNNNNNNNNNNNNNNNNNNNNNNNNNNNNNNNNNNNNNNNNNNNNNNNNNNNNNNNNNNNNNNNNNNNNNNNNNNNNNNNNNNNNNNNNNNNNNNNNNNNNNNNNNNNNNNNNNNNNNNNNNNNNNNNNNNNNNNNNNNNNNNNNNNNNNNNNNNNNNNNNNNNNNNNNNNNNNNNNNNNNNNNNNNNNNNNNNNNNNNNNNNNNNNNNNNNNNNNNNNNNNNNNNNNNNNNNNNNNNNNNNNNNNNNNNNNNNNNNNNNNNNNNNNNNNNNNNNNNNNNNNNNNNNNNNNNNNNNNNNNNNNNNNNNNNNNNNNNNNNNNNNNNNNNNNNNNNNNNNNNNNNNNNNNNNNNNNNNNNNNNNNNNNNNNNNNNNNNNNNNNNNNNNNNNNNNNNNNNNNNNNNNNNNNNNNNNNNNNNNNNNNNNNNNNNNNNNNNNNNNNNNNNNNNNNNNNNNNNNNNNNNNNNNNNNNNNNNNNNNNNNNNNNNNNNNNNNNNNNNNNNNNNNNNNNNNNNNNNNNNNNNNNNNNNNNNNNNNNNNNNNNNNNNNNNNNNNNNNNNNNNNNNNNNNNNNNNNNNNNNNNNNNNNNNNNNNNNNNNNNNNNNNNNNNNNNNNNNNNNNNNNNNNNNNNNNNNNNNNNNNNNNNNNNNNNNNNNNNNNNNNNNNNNNNNNNNNNNNNNNNNNNNNNNNNNNNNNNNNNNNNNNNNNNNNNNNNNNNNNNNNNNNNNNNNNNNNNNNNNNNNNNNNNNNNNNNNNNNNNNNNNNNNNNNNNNNNNNNNNNNNNNNNNNNNNNNNNNNNNNNNNNNNNNNNNNNNNNNNNNNNNNNNNNNNNNNNNNNNNNNNNNNNNNNNNNNNNNNNNNNNNNNNNNNNAAAUGAUGUUGGACCUCUAAUAUGAUUUAGAAUAAGGCGAAGAAAAUAUUGUUCUCCUUCAGAUGGAUUCACUGAGACAAUUCUUCAUAUAACAAUCUGUUUCUUUUUGGGAGUCCAAAAUUUUUUAUUUGCAUUCCAAACAAAAUAUUUAGGAAAAUCUCGAUACAAAAGUGUUUGAGCAAAUUCAUUUACUUUAUUCACUUGGAAAAACUCGAUUAACAUUGUUCUUCUCAUAUUUUCAUUCGUAAUAAUAAUAGAUAAAUCAUCCGUAUUUUUGUAAGUUACACGUUGACGAUCUUCAAUAUGAAGUUGUAGAGCACAAACAAUUGGAUAGAUUUCCGAUAAAUUGAAAAAAAAAAAAAAGUCAUCCACAUAACUUUAGGUGGAGAUAUCCAUCUAGCUGAUUGGUAAGUAGAGAUUUCAUCGAUAUCUUUGUCUGUCUCAUUUCUUCCAACGAAAAAAUUAAUACGAUCAUGUCCUUUGUAUACAUAUUUGUACAAAUAUUUUACAGCUUUAAUAGAAGAGCAUACUUCAACAUUAAUAAAGCAAUCAAACUUUUCAAUUAAAUAAGGAUUAUAUGGUACAACUCAUUGAUUGUCUAACAUUUGAUCUCUCACUUUAACACAAAUAUCAUUAUUACGCCGCCAAUACAACGGGUAUGAAUUAUCUCCAAGUAUAGUAUUAUUAUGAUAAUCAUUCGGAUAUUUAUUUUUACAACCGUUAUUUGUCACCAUACAUACAUUUUUCGGAUUCAAAUUUCCACAAGGACCAUGCAUAUUAUGCUUCACAAUAAUAGAAUGGAGAUAAGGAUAUAUAUUUUUAUCAGGAAUUUCACAAGAGACUAUCCUAUCAACUUGUUCAGUGGAAGAAAUUUUAUGACCACUGUCAAAAAUCAACAAUAGAUGUGCGUGAGGGAGACCUCUUUUUUGAAUUCAAUCACAUAUAUAUGAGCAAUAAUAGGACCAAAAAUAUCAUUUUAUACAAAUCAUUUUUAAGUUCUUCUAAUUUUGCUCUAAAUAUACGUACAAUCAAAUCUGGUCGAUUUUGAACCUCAUCAUUGUGUUUUAAUUCUUGCUUAAUUUCUGGCCAAUUUGGAUUACAUGUUAUAAUUAGGAAUAAAUCUGGUUUUCCAUAACAUUGGACAAGAGUCAUAGCAUCUAAGUACCUCCUUAGCAUAUCUCGAAGUCCACAUGUAAAGGAUUGUGGUAAAACAACUUUUUUCCCAACUUUGUACCCUCUAAUUUCUACUUUAUGUACACUAUCUACAAUAUCUUGAUAAAGUUCAGCACGAAUUUGUUUCUGAUUAUUACAAAAAUAAUCUAACUUGGAUGUCUCUAUAUUAACGUACAUAUCUACAACAUAUUGUUGGAAAAGUCAGCCAAUAAGAAGCAAUACAGAUUUACCAUAAGGUCUAAUCUGUAACUUGUAUGAAUAGUACUCACGACAUGAUACUUGUGACUGUUUCUUCGUUUUCUUAAGCACUGCACGAGGAAAAAUGAAGCAAAUUUUAUAUUUACUUCAAACAUCACAUCUAUGGAGAUAUAAGAAAGACACAAGAAAGUACAUGAACAAACCAUUAGCCUCUUUUUCAAUAAUUUGAGCUACAAAAUUUAUUAUUUUAGGAUUAGCAACAUGGUCGACCAACUGCGCAAGCUGAGAAGAUGUGUUUUCGUAUCUGUGAAUACCUUUAAGCCAACCACAUUCACCAAACGGGAAAAGCAAAGGGUAUUACAAAGGAUCAUAACAACCAUAAUAAUAAUGAACCCUAUGCGAAUCACUAGAAUGUCCAUAUAUAGUAAUAUCACGAACACGAAUUUUUGCGUUUUCAUCAUCCUCAACCCGUACGACAACUACUUAAGACGCCGACGGAGUAUUAAAAACUCUCUGAUAGAGUCCUGGGUGACAUCUUAUUUGUAUUUUAAACUCAUGCAAAUCGGUUAUAUUACUUCGAGACUUAAAGAAUUUACUACACUGAUUUACCUUCAAGAUUCCAAUUAGAAAAAGCAAAGUGGAUUCUACCAGACUUUCUGAAGUUUUCAUUCGAUUUUGGAGUUCAUUAUCUGUAUCGUAAAAAUAUAAUUGCAUAUAAGAAGGCGUAUUAUUAUCCAACAUAAGUUGAUUUAUAUAAUGAUAUACUUGUCCCUGAACUCUAAAUGUGUAUAUACAUUUGUAUGCUUUAAACAGCUCAUUAUCGUACUUUACACCAAAUGAAGUGAAAGCAAAGUGAUUCUUAUAUCCACGCGCAAGUUUUUUAAAUUCCAUACAUGCAUGUUCUUUAGACGUAAAUAGAGCGUACAAUUCAUCGGUGAAUCAGGCAUAAAAAGUUUCACUUUUCCAUAAGAGCAACAAAAACCUUUAGUUUCUCUAUACAAUUUGUGUGCGCCACAAUGCUUACAAUAAGUGCAUGUCGGUAAUACAUAUGCAGUAGUUGGUAUACUAAACAGAUUAGAACUUUCAUGUAAUUCAGAAUCAACAACAUUAAUCAUCUCUUCAUUCGAAGUAGAAGCCUCAGAAUGAGAAUGUAUUAUAUAUUAAUCAACACCAGAACUAUUAUUUUUAGAUAAAAUUGGAUCAUUUAUCCUCUUACGACGAUCAAUACUUAUAGUUUGAAUUCGAUUCCUCCUAUCCACCCGCCUUUGAUUUUGUUGUUGGCGAAUGAAAGCAUUAUACGAUUUAUUUGUGUUUUGGGAUAAAGUUUCAAGAUCAAAAUAACCAGACUUGUCAUUUGUAGAUUUUUGCAGAGAAUCCAUCAGAAGAAUAAAUUUACCACUGAUUUUGAAUAAUACAAAAAAUUAUUAAUUCAAUUAGAAACUAACAAAUAAUAAUUACAUUUAACGUACUGUAAAAUAAAUGUGGUAAAUAAGAAAAAGUUCUGCUACAAAGCAAACUUCCAACAACAACAUAAACUUCAUAGCCAUAUCUAACAAAAAAUAGACAACUCCAAUUAGAUUUUCACGUAUAUAUAGAGAUAAGAAUAUACCUCACAUCUAGGUAGAGUAAGAUGAGUCAAGCUACAUUUUCAUCUAUACACAGAAAUAAAACCUACAUACAUUAAAUAAAUUCAAAAGAAACCCAAAAACGAAAACACAAACAAAGUAAAUAAAAAAAUUGCAAGAACUUACCCAAAGUUAACCGUCGUAAUUUCUUCCCUAUGGUUAAGAUAUAGACUACACGACUUUUUUUUCCCACUAAAAGAAACAAAAAUUUAGAGAGUUUUUUCCACAUAUGAAAGCUGAAUUUUGGAAUUGAAGGAGAGAGGAUGAGUGAAUUCAAAGAGUGGUAGACAAUAGAUUAUUUAUGCUUUCUUAAUAAUAUAAUAUAAUAAAAAAAUACCAAACCACUUUGACCAAACCUAUUUCAAACCAGUUGAAUGUGAAAACACAUGUAAUAAAAACGAACAAUCUAACUCUGCACAAAAAAGAGCACUUCGAGUUAUUUUUUAAAUUUAAAAAGUAAUAACUCUCUUAUAAUUGUAAAAAGCUACUCUAUAUAUCUAUCUAUAAAUAAAAAAAAGUAUUAACUUAAAAUUUUUUAAGUAAAAAUAUUUACAUAUAUUUAGUUUUUUAAAUUUUAAAUAUUAAUAAAAAGAAUACACCAUCUAGAACGUAACAAGUUAAUUAUAAGUAAAAAAAAUCACUUCAAGUUAUCUAAAAUAAUAAAUAAUUGCGAAGCGUACUUAUAUAGAAAAAAAAAAUUAACUUCAACAUUUUUAAGUAAAUAUUUAGAUAUAUUUAAUAUUUUUAAAAUUAAAUAUUAAAAAAAUAUUAACAUGAAAUAAUUUUAUUUCUUUUUUUUUUAUUUCAAAACGACUCCGUGCAGGGAGUGAAAAUACAGAGUGAUUUUCACUCUCAUGUGCAUGGGAGUGAUUUUCACUCCAUGCACGUGCGUGGAGAUUUUUUUUUAAUUUUAUUCGUAAUAAUAUUUAAUUGUAAAAAUAUUAAAUAUAUCUAAAUUUACUUAAAAGUGUUGAAGUUAAUAUAUUUUUUUUUAUAAAUAGCUUUUACAAUUAUAGGUUUUUUUUAUUAAUUUUAAAUAAUUGGAAAUGAGUUUUUUACUUACAAGUAACUUUUUAAAUUCUCUAUCGUCUAAUCUUUUUAUCAAUAUUUAAGAAAGGAUAAGCAACUUUUAAAAUAAGAAGGGAUAAGUAUAAAUAAAAAAAUAAAAAAGUAUUAACUUAAAUUUUUUUAAGUACGAAUAUGUACAUAUAUUUAGUUUUUUAAAUUUUAAAUAUUAAUAAAAAUAAUACACCGUCUGGAAUGUAGCAAGUUACUUAUAAGUAAAAAAAUCACUUUAAGUUAUCUAAACUAAAAAAAAUGUAAAAGGUACUUAUAUAGAUAAAAAAAAAUUUAACUUCAACAUUUUUAAGUAAAUAUUUAUAUAUAUUUAAUAUUUUGAAAAUUAAAUAUUCAAAAAAUAUUAACUUGAAACAAUUUUUUUUUUUUCAAAACGCCUCCAUGCACGGAGUGAUCACUCCAUGCUGCACGGAGAUUUUCACUCCCAUGCAUGGAGAUUUUUUUUUAAAAUUUUAUCCAUAAUAAUAUUUAAUUGUAAAAAUAUUAAAUAUAUCUAAAUUUACUUAAAAGUGUUGAAGUUGAUAUUUUUUUUCUAUGAAUAGCUUUUACAAUUAUAGGUUUUUUUAAUUAUUUUUAAAUAAUUGGAAAUGAUUUUACAAUUAUAGGUUUGUUUAAAUAAUUUUCGUUUAUUAUAAUUUAAUAGCUACAUAAUAAAUUAUUUCUAUUUAUCUCUCCAACUUCUUUUAUUAUACAAUAUAAUAGUACUCCCUCUAAUCAAGUGAAAGCGAAGUAGUGUUAUUCAUAAUAAUAUUUAAUUGUAAAAAUAUUAAAUAUAUCUAAAUUUACUUAAAAUUGUUGAAGUUGAUUUUUUUUUUCUAUGAAUAGCUUUUACAAUUAUAGUUUUUUUUUAAAUAAUUGGAAAUGAUUUUACAAUUAUAGUUUUGUUAUAAUAAUUUUUGUUUAUUAUAAUUUAAUAGCUACAUAAUAAAUUAUUUCUAUUUUUCUCUCCAACUCCUUUUAUUUUACAAUAUAAUAGUACUGCCUCUAAUCAACUGAAAGCGAAGUAGUGUAUGAAAAUUGAUAAAUCAUUAAAACGGCGUGUCAAAAUCUUGAGAUGGCGUGUGAAAAUAGCACUGCAGUGUGAUUGAAGAAUAAUUUACUGUUGCCGAGCCAGUUUCAAACCAGCUUCGUGUGAAAACCUAUGUGACAAAAAUGAACAGUAAACCUCACAUUCUCUCCUUUAAGAUAAUGAGGGAUAUACACACCAAAGAAUCCAGUCCAUUUUCUUUUCAUUCAUAUUCUCGAUCCAAUUGCAAAGGCUCAAUUUGAUUAAUGCCCUUUUUAAAAUAUGCCACCAACUGUCCAAGUAAGCUAAUUUAGCCCUUGAUAAAAAUUAUUUGUGCACCCAUAUCCUUUUAAUUCAAUUUACGUCCUUCAACUUUUCAAAGUGUGGAAUAUUAUCUCCAAUUAUUCAUCUAAUGGCCAAUUUAUCCUUCCAAAUGCUUCAAAACGAGUUAAACACUAAAACAACGAAAAAUAACCCAAAUUAAAUAGAAAUAAUAAUUUGACAGCAUAAACGUUUGGUAAUGUGGCAUAAAUAAUUACACAAAAUGUACUUAUCAGAUUGAAUGCAAAUAAAAAAUUGCCUAGGUAAUAGGCAUCAACAUGUCUUCCUUAACAGUUACUUUCCUUGUAUGUCUUGCACAGGCGACUCUCCACUUCUCUUUUCCUUCUGCCAUAACCAUCAGCGCAUACGUAAUGACAGCUAUAAUCAGAAUCCCAUUCUUGGAGGCCACCAUUGUGUGUGUACUUGAGUGAAAAUCUUGUAAAAGGCCAAAUCUUCUCAACUAUUUAAAGGUGAUGAAAGGGUGCGUCUUGAAGUGUUUGAGUCUGUUCAUAAACGAUGCACGAUUAAAUUUAAAGCUGUGCUUCAUAUACAUGGAAAGGAAAAAAAACCAAUGGAAAUUAUGCUUAAAUCCCUAAAACUGGAACAUGUUCCGUCUUGAACCUAUUAAGGGAAGGGAAGAGAAUAAAUUUAAUUACAAAGUGUAUAACAAAAUCUCUCACAAGAAAUAAGUUUCUAAGAUGUUAAGGUUAUUUAUCUCAAAUGAUACGAGCACAAUGAAUACACCUCCUCCAUCAUAUAGUAUAAUAGUAACGAAAGAUAUAAAGGAAGACAAGAAAAGAGAAUUUAUCAAAUGCCUAAGAUCUUGCCAUCUAAUUUAUGGAUAACAAUGCUUAACCAUUGCAAAAAACGCAGCAGAUUUUCAGACAUCAAAAUAGCAUGUUGUGUAACAUUUAACAAAUGCAAGAAAAAAGGAACUUUUGAUAAUCAUCAUAAAAUGGAAUGGAAGGGCCUAUUUUUCUCCCAUGCAUUCACAUUCCACUCAAUUAAUAUGUUGCUCCUUUGAUGAUGCAUCAGAUAACAUGUAGAUUUAAAAUCCUGCAUAACUUCAAAUAUUUCUAAUAACAAGACCGGUUCAAUGAAAGAAUACACAUUAGAUUCAUGAUAUGUCACAUUUUAAACGAAAUUUAGUAUGUCUAAACAUUGGCAAUUGAAAUUAAGAGAGUUCCAAAUUACCAACAUUACAUGAGGACUUGUGAGACAAUUUCAAGAAAUCUUUCGAUUAUUUUGGAUGGAAACUUUUUCGGGUAGCAGUAGGGAUGUAAAUUGGGCUCGUCGGCUCAAUCCAAAAAAAGCCUCAACCACCCCGACUUGUGGGUCGGGCUGAGCCUCAUUUUGGAAAGUCGACUCUAGCCCAACCAACAUGUUUUAUGGGCUAUUCGGCUCUAGCCGAAAAAAAGAUGGCAACAAAUCAAAGCUGCCUUAACCGACAGUUGCUGCAUGUUAUAUUGAAAUUGAUUUGAAUUUAAAUGGUUUGAUUUUUUUUGGUUAUAAAUAUGAGUUAAAUUUCCCAGUUUCAUAUCAAUUUUAACUUGCAGUAUGUUGAUUGUAGUUGGUCCUAAAUCGGGAAAAAGGAGGAGGGAUGUAACUUUUAUUUAAUUUAUAAUUCGUAAAAAUUGUACAAAUUUAAGAAUUGUCAUGAAAAAAAAUCACGAACAAGCUCGGCUCGGUAAGGCCCAAGUUUAGAUUUGCCGGGCAAAAUUUCUGCUCGGCUCCAGCUUGCAAUAAAGCUUGGAUCACUUUACUCGAUCCGAGCCCAAGCAUCAAAUUUCGGCUCUACUCGUUGACAAGCCUAGGUACCAGGAUUCAGAAUCAUACUUCUUUUUAAUACACGACCUGGAAUGACAAUAAAAGAACUUUUGAAAAGUUAUACCCUCGUAAACAUUUUAUAUCGAAAGAUAACCACAAAGCAUAAAGGAAAGGGCAUGAUUUAAUUAUUAUAAUUUCAUGUAUAGAAAUUAAACUAGAACAAAAUUAAUGUAGCGACCAUUCCAAACAUAAAAAUUUAAAAUUAAAAGCCAAUAAUCCAUAGUGAUCAAAACUAGACUAGAUUGCCACUUCUAAUUAGUUAGAGUACUAAGAUAUCCAUAUCAAUAGCAGGAGGACCAAAUCGCUCCUUCUGCAUAAUUUUUGGAUCACCAAAGAUAGAGGAUCAAACUAUCGAUUCUGUAUAAUUGGCAUGCUAAAUUGUCUGUUCUUGUUAGUUGGAGGACGUAAGAUCACUUCUGAAUAGUUGAAGAUUCAAUAGGUUGAUCACCAUACUUCAGUUUCUAAAUAGAUUUAGGACUAAUAUGCUCUUACAGAAUAGUUGGAGGACUAUAUUGCUUAUUAUUAGUAUUUCAUGAUGCUAUUGCCCCUUAUUCAUGUUGGAGGAUCCAUUUGCGACCACUACAUAGUUGCAGGAAGAAUUUUUUGUUUAUAACUAGAUGGAGGGUGAACUUAAAUCAAUCCAAACUGAAAUUGGAACCAAAUCUAAACCAAAACCCAACCCAAUACUUAGUAUUUUAUUGUGAACAUAGAAAGAAAAUAAAAUUCAGGCAAUUGAAUUGCCUAGAAAUUAGUUGCAUGAAAAUUGUCUAUUAAGGGGGUGUUUGAUGGAAAUUAAAAUUAGAUUUUUAGAAUAUUGUGAUACAAGUUUUUGAAAUGUGUGGUUGAAAAGUUGUAAGACCCAUGAAAGAUGCGAUUAAUAUUAAUUGUUUGAAUUUGACUUAGAUUAAAAUCAAAUUUUUAAUCCAUACCAAACGGCCUGUAAAUUUGUAAUACCAUUGAUAGGAAGUCUACAUAAGCUCAUAGAUAAUUUCUUUAAUUUGUAAAUCAUCUGAUGUAGUUUAAGGUUAAAAUAUCUCACAAGUGCCAUAAUAGUCCUAAAAGAGUUUUUCAUAGAAACCAAAGAGAGUUUCUUUAAAGUCAAUGCUUUCAUUCUAAGUAAAGUUAUUUACAACAAAACAGGCCUUAUAUCUCAACACAUCACCCCUCAAAUCCCUCUUGAUUUUAAAUAUCCCUUUACAACCAAUAAGUUUCACACCUUUAGGCAAUGGGAUGAGUUCCUAAACGUCAUUGUCGCUCAUGAUCUUAUCUCUUUAUUAAUGGUAUCAGUCCACUCUUAAGAAUUACUCAUUUGCAUUUUUUGAUGAAAGUUAAUUGAUCAAAUCUUCUUCCACAAAUCUAAUGAUAUCCUUAUUUUCUUAGAGAAAGAAUAUAAAGUUUUCUAAAUUGUCUUUCUCUUUUCUUUAGUGAAUCUCCUUAAUGGUAUUUAUUCUUGAUGUUGGUGAGUUUGUCAUUUUGAAACAAUCUCUUGAUUGUCUACAGGGGAUUUUGUGAUAUUGUCUUGAUCCAAAAUUACUUCUUGAAUAAGGUCUGGAGCAAGAAUCUGUCCUAGUUUCGAUCAUUGGCAAUUGUAACAGAAGAGAUAUAUUUAUAUUCUUUCUCAAAUACAAAAUCCUUAACCUUAUAACCUUAUCUCUUGGCACAAACUCUACAUUCUCAACGAAUUGGACAUUUCCUGUUUUGAAAAUCGACCUCGUUGUGAGAUCUUAAAAUUUGAAACCCCUUGACCUUUCAAAGUAAUCAAUAAAUUAGCAAUUGAUAAUUCUGGAGUCCAGUUUAUUUUUCAAUUGCCUAUAAAGCAUUCACUUAACUACCCCAUAUGUGCAAGUGUUUCAAAAUAGACCUUUUGUCUAUCCAAAGCUUGUAAAGGGUUUUAACAGUUACUUUACUUGAAACUUUAUUGAGAAUUUAAGUUGUAGUCUUUAGUUCUUCACCCUAGAGAGGUAUUAGUGUACUAUGGGAUGAUUCCACAUUCCCGUAGGAAUUUAGCAAAAGGCCAUGUACGUUGUUCUCCUGAUCCGUCAUAUCUUUCAUAAUAUUCACCACUAUGGUAAGAUUUGACUUGUUUAAUUCUUUUAUUGAUUUAAAUUACAACAUCAAUUUAAUAAGCAUUGACCUGGUCCAAUGGUUGAGAUUUCUUAUGAAUGAGAUAUAGGUAGUCAUAGCAAGAAUAAUCGUCCAUGAACAUAAUAUGUGAUUGUUGACCAUUCUAAAAAGUCGAACGGAAAUGACCCGCAAAUAUCCGUAUGAGUUAGUUCUAAAAGAUUCGAAGUUCCAUUGGCAUUAAUCUUCUUAUAUUUGUUUAUUUCCCCUUAAUGCAAUUAACAUAAACACUUAAGUCUAAAAAAUCAAGCGGAUCAAGAAUUCAUUCUGACACAAAUUUUUCCUUUUUCCUCUAAGAUAUGUGACUUAAUCGCUUGUUUCCGUAACGAAGUGAAAUUCUUAUUGGUUAAUUUAUAUUUACUACCAUGUGAAUUUACAAGUAAGGUUUCUUAAUAAAAGGCCAUCGAAUUAAGCAAAUAUGGGUUAUCGUAACCAGAUAAAGAACUGGUACCCACAACAUUAGAAUUAAGAAAGAGACAAGACUUACUAUUUUCAAAUGAACAAGAUUAAUCGAAUUUGUCCAAUAUAGAAAUAGAAUCAAAGUACAUUUUAAAAGGAUGUAUUGCAAAUGUCUCUUUUAAAUCCAAAUAAUAACCAGUCUUUAAUAACCUAAAAGUCUUUAUAGCCUCAACUUUAAUUGAUUUGCUAUCGUUUGCACAUAUGAAUCUUUCGGCAUCAAUUGGCUAUUUACUGUUCAGGCAACCCCACAUAGACACGCUUAUUUGAAUAGUGACACCGAAAUUUAUCCACUAAGUGCGUCUAGGUACUAAAAUCAAAUUAACUUUUGAAUAGACUAAAAUGAGAAGUAUACUUUAUUUUACAUGCCAAGCGUGUUACUUAGUACAAUCUCUCUUCACGUGUUCCAAAUUUUUUCAAAAGUAACAGCUAGAUGAUUUAUCUUUUUCGGGCUUUUGUUGUUUCUUUUCAACCGAACUAGAUAUAGCUUUCUUAUUCUUUAGCUUGUCCUUAGAGUUACUUACCAAGUGGAUAGUAUCAAUUUCAUCUUGCUUUUGUCUUUCUUCUUCUUGCACAUAAUAUGCAAUGAGUUCAUUCAGAGUCCAUUACCCAUUUUUUGACAAUUAGCUCUGAUAGCAUUUGUUAAAACUUCAUAAAACUUUAAAACUAGAAAAUUUAAAUUCUUUUAUUGCUAAGAUCCUCAAUGUUAAAUCAUCAAAAGAAUUAUUAAAUUUGGAAAAAAAACCUUAAUUCAUUGAAAAUGAUCCGUUAUUACUGAAUCUUGAUUCCGAAUCUUGAAAUUUGAACUACAAUCUUUUCAUGUUUAACUUCUUCGCUUUAAAUCUUGAAUAUUGCCCCUUUUGAUUUUUAAAUUCUUGUUUUUGACUUUGGCUUUUUGCUCCAUAAUCUCAAUCUUUCAAUUUCUUCUUCUUGACUCUUGAUUCUUGAUUGUUGAUCUUGAUUGUGGGUUUUGGAUCUUCUUUUUUAAUAUAUUUUCUCUUAAUAUUCAUUUAUUGAUAAGAUGACACAAAUAAUGAGAAUCACAUAUGAAUUGAUAACCAUAUAUAUUCAUAAGUAUUUUGCUCAUCAUAAAAUAGAACCAUACCGGAUCUAGUCUCUAUACAUAUAAUCUAGUCCCAGAGUUUAUUUAGGUGCCCUAAACUCAACAAUUCAAUUUAGGCCAUGACUCACCAAAGAUGAGCAUCACUCAUCCUUCACAUCGACAAAUCAUGUAAUUCACUUGAGAAACUCACUCGGACCAUUCAACUUUUAGACCAUGAGUCGCCAAUGAGAUAACUGAAACAAAACAUACCAAACUAUGAAUAUAUUUAGGGAGUUGUAAUGGGAUAUAUAACAAGAAGUAGGUAGUAGUUAGAGAAGUAAUGAAUCUUCCGUCACAAAAGAUAGAUCCAGUAAAACUCGAUUUUGUAAAAACUCCAGCUGAAAAAAGGAGACUAUUCACUUUUUUGUCAUGAAAAGAAAUAACAAUCUAUUCAUGUUCAAUAAUUACUAACAUCCAACAAAUAUGUCAUGGCUUCAUGAAGUUCCAUCAAUUAUUUGAUUGUGAGAAGAAGACUUAGCUCUUGUUUGGUACAAAUUUUAAGUCAAUUAUAAUCAAUUUAUUGAUCAUUAUUUCACUAUUUCAGUCGUCAUUUUUGAAUUCUUCUCUCACAGAUAGGACCCACUUUAUCUCUAACGGUCAAAAAAUCAAUUAUCAAAAUCCCUACCGAACAAGCUCUUAAUGGUAAAAGCCUAGUACUCGUAUUAUGACUAUAAAAGGGAGUUAUAUUCCCACUAUAUCUGUUAAUAAAUACAUUACAUUUUGAUUAUAUUUAAUAUUAAUAAUCUUUAUCAUCAUCAUAUUUAUAUAUUUAAACUUUUUUUCAUCAUAUUCUUAGGAUAUGCAAGUAUGGAAUUUACGUAGAAAGAAAAUAAUUGGUUAAAACUUAUUUGCAUCGAAUUGUCAAUUAUAUGUGUUUGAUUUAUUAAAUUUUUAACCUAAAAAAUGUUAUACUUUUUUUUUUUGGUGGGGAGAUGAAAGAGAUGGGAAGCAGAUGAGAGAGAAAGAGUAAGGGUUACUUGAAAAUAUUUUUUUUGCUUCCAAGGAAAAUAUGGUCAUGUGAACAAAAGUAGGAAAAUGUUUGUUAAAUGAUGACAAACAAGGGCUUAAUUUGAGAAUAAGAAUGCGAUGAAGAAAAUGUGAGAUAUAAAUGUGACAAUGUGUAAAGGUAAUUACGUACCUUUUUAACGUUUCUAGUAAGCUCUUGUUUGAGCCUCAUUUUUUGGGAAGAAUGAAUUUUUGAAUAGUGUAUUGAUGGGAAAUGUGUGGUUAAAAAUAAAUAAAAAAUUGGAUUUGCGUGUAGUAUUAAUUUAUUGAAUAAUGUAUUAUUGAAAUAAUGUCAAAACACUAUUAAAAAUGUAUUUUUUUUCAAAAGAAUUGAUUUCAAACAAGGGCUAAAUUUGUUCUUAAUCUCUAAAAAGAACUUUUCAAUCCUCAACAUGUAGUUCCCCUGGCAUGUUUUAUAUUGGUUAGAAAAAGAACUUUUCAAUCUUCAGCUUUUGUGUACCCACAUUACAUGCACAAAGAUAACAAGUUAGAAUAUCAAAACCCUAAUUCCCUAAUCAAGAAAGUAAAAAAGGUCAACAAGCAGUGAAAAUCAAAUGUCCCCGGAUCCCAUAAAUAUUCUGAAGUGUAAAACCUUGUUCUUUCCUUCUCAUAAUCAAAUAAUCUCUCUUCUCCCCAAAUUCCUUGUGGCUUACAACAGUACACAUACUAGGAAAAAGAAAAGUAUAGACUAAUAUAUGUUUAGUAUAUCGAAAGAGAAGAAUGUGGGAUUUUUGUAGCAGACGAAACACUUCUUAGUAGAAUAUUUUUUAUUAUGUCAAAAGGGAUCACAUGUAUAGUAUAUUAAACAAGAUUAGAUAAAGACAAGUUUUGAAUCUCAAUGUAAUAAAAUCUAGAUUUUAAUCUAAGUUAAAGUCAAUAAUUAAUUUUGACCACAUGUUUUGUGGGAUCCAUAAUUUGUCAAACAUACAUUUUAUCAUUUUUUUUAAUCAAAAUCUACUAAAAAUUUGAUUUUAAAUCUACCAAUCAAGGACAUAGUAUCAAUUCAAUGCCAGAACUAAUGGUGAGUGGAAAAUUGUUACAGCUUAUUUUACUACUUUCCUUUUGAAAGCAAAAUCAAAUUCUCUUGAUUGAUUGGUGAAAUGUAUAAAAAAAUAAUAUAAACCCAACUCCUUAAUUUAAAAUAAGAAAAAAUGACUUGGCCUUCUACUGUUCUUCCUUCCCUGUUUGCCCAUUUUCUUCACGCAAAUUAUCCGGAAAUAAUGAUGUGGGUCCAUAGAAAUGGGUCAAUUUCCGUGCUGAUUCUUCCUCCUCUCAUUUUCUUUGGCCUGUUUGAUGCAACAAAUUUUCCAUGAAAAUUUUCCAUUUUACAACUUUUUCUUUGUUUGAUUGGUAUAAUUUUCUUGGCAAUUGAUUUUCUCUACCCCCACCCUUUUUUCUUUGAUUUCGUGGAGUUUUAACCCGUUUGGCCCCCAUUCUACUUCUCAUUAUUUUUUCACUUUUAUUUUCAACCACACAAUUUUUCAUAAAAUAAUAUUACACGCAAAUAAAAAACUUUUCAUUCCUUUUUAACCACACAUUUUUCAAAAAAAUACUAUUCCAACCAUUGAAAUUUGAAAAUAAUGGGGCCGAACGGGGGCUUAAUUCCCUUGGUUUGGGUGGACAAUCAGUUUCCAAUUUUUAUUUUUUAUUUUUUUUUUGGAUAAUGGAAACAAAUUUUAUCCAUAAUUGUAACAAAUUCAAUCUCUUUAGUUGACAAUUUUCAUGAAAAACAAAGUCAAAUGAACAUCAAAAGAUAAAAAAAAAAGUAACAUUUUCGGGUCAAAAAUUAUAUUAAUCAAACACAUUUAAUUGGCAAUUUCAUUAAUUGACAAUUCUCAAUAAAACAAGUUCUAGACAAUUAAAUUUCUUGAAAUUUAUUUUCUUUCCAUCCAAAUUUCAUUCUUGCAAUCAAACGGACUCUAGUGAGUUUGUUUUGAAAUAUGAAAAAUAUUUUCUCAAUAAAAUGAAAAGAAAAAUAUAGGUUAGACAUAAGUAUGAAUCAAUAUUCUGAAAUAAAAAGUACGAAGAACCGCUUCCCAUGAUUUCGAUUUAAAGUAUGCUUUUAUUCAUUGAUUAAGUAAAUAACUAUGAAGAACAAAGUAAUAUUUUGCUUUAAUAAUGUCCCCAUUUUUGAGAAAGGGGAAUACCAUAAUUUCUAAUAUAAAUAUAUUAAUUGAAACUUUAGAAUUGUUUUCAUUAAUCUAGAAUCGAUAGUACAGUCCUAAAAAUCUCUGUAUAAGAAAAAACUAGUUUCUUAUUACUCAAAUAGUAUCAGUAUAUAAUAUAAAUGGAACCAUUCCUUACACACUUAUUUGAGAAACAAUCGUGACAUUUAAUUUAAAUCAAUCCAACGCUCAAUAUCUUAUGGAUCUCAAGUGAUUACAACAAACUCUACCAUGAUUUUAGUGAUAUAUAUAUUGAACGUUGGAUUGAUUUAAAUUAAAGGUAACAAUUAUUUAUCAAAUAAGUGUGUCAAAUUUCUAAGUAGGAGCAACGGUCUCUUACUAUAAAACCUCUAUAGAAUAAUAAUGUUAGGACCAAGAAAAUUUAUUAUUUUAGAGAGGUUAUUAAUUUAUAGAAUAUUUUAUAUUUUUAUAACUUGUAUUAUAUUUUACCGUAAUACAUGUAGGAAAUUUUUGAAAACAAAAUAUUAAAUGUGGUGAAAUUCAAAAUUUAAUCUGUAAGCACACAAAAAGGCGCACACAACAUUUUUGAAAAAAAUGUUGUCAAAUUAAAAGUUUGUUAACUUAUAUUAAUAUGAAAUUUUAUGAAUUUAAGCAAUUAUUAUUUUACAUAUUCAUAGGGCCUUAAAGAAUCACGAAAAAAAAUUAUCUAAUGCAUUUAAUGAGAUUAUUAAUUGUGGAAAUUACACAGCCACAUGUUUUUAAAGACUACAAUUCAAAAAAAAAAACAAAUUCAAGGUUUGGUUAUUCAAAAAUCAAGUGAUAAUUUCACAUUUCAAUAUUAAUAGAUAAUAUUAUAAAUUAAUCUAUAUAUAUACCCUUGUCCUCACCUACCCUACAAACCCUAAAACAUUUUCACAAAUAUCUCUUCAUCCACUUCAUUUCUUGAUGCCUCUUUACCCACUCAUUCUCUCGCAACUCUUCACGGCCUGCAACAACACUCGUGAGCCUGACGACAAGUACAGUAUGCAAUGCCUAGUAUCGCUAUAGUUAGUACGCAGUGGAGCCCCAUCGUCAUUGCACACGAAUUGUAGCGACAAAUGAGGUGUCGCUGCAUGCACAAAACAAAGGUGAAUGAUUUGCCAUUGUGCACGAAGCAGUGACAACGUGAUGGUGUGAUGUGGUGUGGUGGUGAAUGGGGUGUUUGGUGAUGUGCUAAUUUGAGAGCUAUAUCGAAGUUUUUAGAUUGUCGCUGUUUGGCACUCGUCGUGGUGAUUUGAGCAUCGUGCAUGGUGGUGCUAAGAUUGUCUCUCUAACAACACUCACCAUGGUUUUGGUGUAAUUUCUUCUUGUUCUGAUCUAUUGCUUAGCCAUUAUCUAUCUUCUAGUGGAUUCAAGGUGGUGGAAGUGUCGAGUUUAGGAUUUUUUUUAUUUUUUAUUUUUUUUGUUGGUAGUUGUAGUAUGGUGAAAAUGGAGUUUGUGAUUGUUGGUGAUGGUGGUGAUGGCAGUGAUUGUUGUGAGGUGGUGGUAGCAUUGGCGAUGAUGGUGGUUCUGGUACAGAUGGUGGUGGAGAUAGUAGUAAUGUUAUUGGUGGCAGUGGUGUUGGUGAUAGGAUUAGGUUAGUUUGGAUUUGAAUUGUAUAAAGAGGGUUCAUAACCAAUUAUUUAGGUGAUUGUAACUAAUAAAAUGGUUAAUUUGUGACCAAUAAAUAAUAUGCAUUCGAAAAGGUAGUUUGUAGUCGAGGAAUAAUACUUGGUUUAUAAAUUUGAUAAAUUGUGGUAAAGAAAUUGUAACCUAUAAAAUUUGUGAUUUGUGAUUGUGCAAUAAUACGUGAUCAAUUUUGCCCACGUUAUAUGUUUUUCUUGUUACAAGUUAUAAUCCAAGUAUCAAAGUUCAACGUGCACAUACUAUAGGCUACAUGUCAUUGUGUAUAGGUCGCAGAUCAAUGUUCAUAGGUCACAUAUCAAAUGGGAUUGGUCACAAAUCACUAAUUUAUAAUCACAGGUCACAGUUCAUCAUUCACAAUUUACGGGUCAUAUUGUAUAGAUCAAAUAUCAAUGUUAACUGGUCAUAGAUUAGAUUGUCACAUGUAUGUGUACUGAUAAUAGGUCACAGAUUCAAGUUCACUGGUCAUAAGUCAUUUUUCAUAGGUAACAAAUCAAUAUUUAUUUGUCACAAAUCCAAGAAAAUUGGUUGCAUGCCAUUAAAUCAAUAUCACAUGUAAUAGAUCAACGUCUGAAGGUCAAAGAUCCAAAAGAACUGGUUACAAGCUAUUAGAUCAACAUCACAAGUAACAAUUUACAUGUAAUUUAAAUCACACGGUAAAAAAUUUACAAUUUACACUGAAUUUGAUGAUAAAUCAAACUUUUGAAUCAAAUUUACACGACAUUGACAAACCAAUUCUCUAUGGUAGUUUAAAUCACGAUGCCAAUCUCAUUCCUUCAAUCAUUCUAAUGCAAGACGAUUGUCCAAAUUGAAGUUCAUUUAGAUAAUCCAUAAAUUCUCGUCGAUGUUUUACUAAAUUAAAAGUCCAAAUAAGUUGCUACACUUAAGAUGUUGUACUCAUAGAUCUUAAAUCAAGGGUCCUUACAAGUCUGCACUACCACUGUGGUGUGAGAGGGAAUGACUCUGGGUGGAUGUCGAUGAUUGUGGCUGUGCGAGUUUGUAGAGAGAUUGGAGAGAGAGAAAGAUUGGAGUGGGUCAAGACAUUAUGAUGGAUAUUUAUUAUAUUAUUUAGAAAAAAAUUACAUGACAAUAGGUCUUUAAGAAAUACAAUUCAUAAAUCAAGUAUGAAAUUUAUUUGUGCAAAUAUUAGGUAUUAAUCUAACUAUAAAACCACCCACCCCCAAUAUCCCCACUUCCCAAACCCUAAUUAUUUCUUCUCACCAUUCUCUCUCUCUAUAUCCCUCUCUGUUCUCUCUUUACUGCUAGUGACAAUAACACACUAGAUACGAUGUCGCGUCGGCGGCGAUGCAACGUGACACUAGCAUUCGACGAUCGCCUCCAUUCCUUCGACCGUAGCACACCAAUUGGAAGACAAGGCAACACCACUGGAAGACGACGUUGAGUGGCACUAAGAUACCGUUGCACACUCUAUCGUUGGUAGUGGCGUCGAACAACGGUGCUGAAGCUGCUGCGAACUCAUGAGAUCAUUGCCCGAAAUGCUGUAGAAAAUUUAGGGAGGGGUUUGGGGAUUUUUGGACAGCUGAUAGCAAUUUUGGAGGUGAUUUCAUCCUCCUUUUCGAUCUAAUCUGCUUAGCGGAGUGGAGAAAUUUGGUGUGGUUUUGAUGUUGUGCUUGUGGUUUAGUAUUGUUGGUAUGUUGAAGGAGAGCAGGCAGCUGCUAGUGGCCAUAUUGGCUUGGUACAAUGGCUAGUGGAUAGCUGUGGUGUUGGCGGUGGUUGUGAUAGUGUUGUGGCAGGGGGAGCAGUGGUUGUGACCACGUAUUGUUGUGGAAUGGGUCGGGAUAGGGUCUGGUGAUGCGAUGGUGUGGUGGUUGAUGUGGUGUAGUGCAAACGGUGAUUGGGUGGUGUGAUUUGUGAUUAAGAUUAGUGCUAGAUCGGGAUCGAUGGUGGAGUGUUUGGAAUUUGUGACCAACUUUUUGGAAUCUAUGACAAUGGUGGUAGACUGGUCGUGUCGACGGCAUAUGGUGGUCGACGACAGGGACAGGGUGAAUGUGGUGGAUAGUGGCGGUGGUGGCAAGAAAUAUGAACUAGUAUUUGAUCCGUAACCAACCAUUUGGUUAUCUGUGACCAACUCAAAUUUAAAAUUUGAUAAUUGUGACUAAAAUAAUUUGUGAUCGAUAAACUAUGACAUAUGGGACCUUGUAAUUUAAAUGAUCUGUGAUCUUGAAACAAUAUGUGACCUACGAAAUUUUUGAUUUUUGACUACGAAAUAAUCAUGUGAUGAAUUAGUUUAACGAUAUUUGACCAAUAAAUAAAUCUGUGAAAUAUAAUUAUGAAUAUGUCAUCAUUUGUCGUAUAACUAUAACUUUAUUAUCUAUGUUUAAUAAAUAUUUUUAAUUAAUUAAAUAUGUACCUGAUUUUUGAAUUUUAAAAGUAUCUACUUGAUUUUUGAAUUGAGGUAAACUUAACGCUUGAAAUGUGAACUCUUCCCUAUUAUUUAUCAUCCGAAUUUGAACUUUUAAACCCUUUCUCUUAAAAUUGAAUUGGAUUAUGGUCAAACAUUUUCUCUUAAAAUCAAAUUGGACUAUAGUUAAGGCCUUAUUUAUGUAUUAUUCCGAUAUUAAUAUAGUACACUAACUCAAGUUGAGAUUAAAAGAAUUUUAAUAUUGAAGCAAAAUUAUUAAUUUGACGAAUAUUCAUUAAUCAAAAGUUCCACUUAAGAUGAUGGGGUCCACAAAAUGGAACUGAAUGGGCCAGAGAGGCUGUACCCGCUAAAUUUCAGAGUUUGAUUCCUCCUCUCAUUUUCAAGUUGAAAUUUGCGAUUUAAAAUUGACUAUCUAAUUUGUUGUCCAUCCAAUGAUUAUGACACAUUUCUUUUAAAUUAAUAUGUUUUACUUUUCUCCCAAUUGUGCACCGUAGAUAUCAAUUCCUCGUUUUCUUCGUGAGUUCGCCAUUUUUCUUAUGGAAAUAGAAUACUGACUGGCCCACAUGGCUGCUGCUGUAAAAUUCUGUAUUUGUCUACUUGAAAUUACUCAUCUUUACUUUUUUCUUAAUGGCGUUCCAUUAUUUUGCUUCUUCACUACACUAAUUCAUGUGCCCAUGUUAAUUGAACAUUGGUGCUAAUUGAUUCUUUUUGUUGAUCAUCUACGAAUCAGAAUAGAGUUUGAUUCUUGUUUCAACUGAGUGUAAAUUUUUCUUUUCUGAAAAAAAUUGGGCUGCGUACGUUUGAGUGUUGUUUAGAACACUUUUACGGUUGUAGUAAUGAAUUUCUGAAUUUUAGUCUGCACAAAUAUGUAUUUUUAAGGCUGCUAAACUUCAUUUACUAGGAAGUUUAUGACUCUAAUUGGGAGGUUNNNNNNNNNNNNNNNNNNNNNNNNNNNNNNNNNNNNNNNNNNNNNNNNNNNNNNNNNNNNNNNNNNNNNNNNNNNNNNNNNNNNNNNNNNNNNNNNNNNNNNNNNNNNNNNNNNNNNNNNNNNNNNNNNNNNNNNNNNNNNNNNNNNNNNNNNNNNNNNNNNNNNNNNNNNNNNNNNNNNNNNNNNNNNNNNNNNNNNNNNNNNNNNNNNNNNNNNNNNNNNNNNNNNNNNNNNNNNNNNNNNNNNNNNNNNNNNNNNNNNNNNNNNNNNNNNNNNNNNNNNNNNNNNNNNNNNNNNNNNNNNNNNNNNNNNNNNNNNNNNNNNNNNNNNNNNNNNNNNNNNNNNNNNNNNNNNNNNNNNNNNNNNNNNNNNNNNNNNNNNNNNNNNNNNNNNNNNNNNNNNNNNNNNNNNNNNNNNNNNNNNNNNNNNNNNNNNNNNNNNNNNNNNNNNNNNNNNNNNNNNNNNNNNNNNNNNNNNNNNNNNNNNNNNNNNNNNNNNNNNNNNNNNNNNNNNNNNNNNNNNNNNNNNNNNNNNNNNNNNNNNNNNNNNNNNNNNNNNNNNNNNNNNNNNNNNNNNNNNNNNNNNNNNNNNNNNNNNNNNNNNNNNNNNNNNNNNNNNNNNNNNNNNNNNNNNNNNNNNNNNNNNNNNNNNNNNNNNNNNNNNNNNNNNNNNNNNNNNNNNNNNNNNNNNNNNNNNNNNNNNNNNNNNNNNNNNNNNNNNNNNNNNNNNNNNNNNNNNNNNNNNNNNNNNNNNNNNNNNNNNNNNNNNNNNNNNNNNNNNNNNNNNNNNNNNNNNNNNNNNNNNNNNNNNNNNNNNNNNNNNNNNNNNNNNNNNNNNNNNNNNNNNNNNNNNNNNNNNNNNNNNNNNNNNNNNNNNNNNNNNNNNNNNNNNNNNNNNNNNNNNNNNNNNNNNNNNNNNNNNNNNNNNNNNNNNNNNNNNNNNNNNNNNNNNNNNNNNNNNNNNNNNNNNNNNNNNNNNNNNNNNNNNNNNNNNNNNNNNNNNNNNNNNNNNNNNNNNNNNNNNNNNNNNNNNNNNNNNNNNNNNNNNNNNNNNNNNNNNNNNNNNNNNNNNNNNNNNNNNNNNNNNNNNNNNNNNNNNNNNNNNNNNNNNNNNNNNNNNNNNNNNNNNNNNNNNNNNNNNNNNNNNNNNNNNNNNNNNNNNNNNNNNNNNNNNNNNNNNNNNNNNNNNNNNNNNNNNNNNNNNNNNNNNNNNNNNNNNNNNNNNNNNNNNNNNNNNNNNNNNNNNNNNNNNNNNNNNNNNNNNNNNNNNNNNNNNNNNUCCUGAUAGAUGUAUCAUCUCUCCUGCAUAUGAUAUCAUAAACAUCGUUGGAACUGGUUUCCAUCAAAUUGGUUACUGGUCAAAUUAUUCUGGACUUUCAACUGUGCCUCCUGAGACUCUAUAUUCAAGGCCCCCUAAUCGUUCAAGUGCAAACCAACGACUAUAUGAUGUUAUUUGGCCAGGAAACACAGUAAGAAAUCCUCGUGGAUGGGUUUUUCCAAAUAAUGGGAGGCAAUUGAGAAUUGGUGUACCCAAUCGGUUUAGUUACAAAGAAUUUGUAUCCCAAGUGCCAAACACUAAUAUAUUCAAAGGAUUCUGCAUAGACGUAUUUAUUGCUGCUAUAAACAUUCUGCCAUACGCUGUUCCAUUUCAAUUCAUUCCGUAUGGAGAUGGCCAUGAAAAUCCGAACUACACCGAGAUUGUGAAUUUAAUUACAACAGGAGUAAGUAUGUUAUUUAAAUAUGAUUAGGGUUAUAGUUAUUUUGAGUUGCACACAUGUAUGGAUGAAGUCUGCUAGUGCUUGGUUAUAUUGUUAGCUAAUCAUUAUGUUUACUUGUCACAGUUCUUUAAUGGGGUUGUUGGUGACAUUGCCAUCGUGACAGAUCGGAAAAGAAAUGUAGAAUUUACACAGCCAUAUGCUGCAUCUGGACUUGUUAUAUUAGUCCCAGUUAGGGAGUUGAAUACAGGUGCUUGGGCUUUCUUAAGACCGUUUUCUCCUGCACUAUGGGGUGUUACUGCUGCUUUAUUUCUUUUUGUUGGAAUAGUUGUAUGGGUUUUGGAGCACCGAAUUAAUGAUGAGUUCCGCGGUCCACCAAAGGAGCAACUGAUAACCGUUCUAUGGUGAGUUCAAUCAUACAAGAUUUGAUAGGGAAUACGUAUGUUUAUUAAACUACCAUCCAAAAUAGCAACUGAUAACUGUCAAAUUUAUCGAUCUAUUUUCCAAGUUAAAAUUCUCUUGUACUGGAACUAAUAAAUUUUAAUAACCAGCUUAAUUCUGCAUCCAUGUUAAUAUCCCUAAUACCCAAUUGGUAGAACUUCCUUUCAGUUACUCUUGAAGUUAUGAACUUCAAGAAUGGAGUAAAAGACAUCUAGCACCAUUCUUCGAGUCCACUGUCAAAGACCAUCAGAACUCAUGUCUCCUAUUGUUCUUCAGUUACCUUUCUCCUGAUAUUAAUUAUUAGUUUUUGGAGAGUCUACUACUUAGAGAAAAACCUUAAUUAUGUCAAGUUCUUUUGAUGGACUAAAGUACUUAAUAAAACAUGGACUAAAGUACUUAAUAAAACUGCAUGGAUCUAUGCCAACUCUCUUCCUUGGCAGGGGAUGCUUUUUCCUGGAUGGAUAAAAGGUUACUUCUGAAUAAUUGAUUAAUUACCUUGAUGUAAAAACGUCAAAAGUAGCUGAUUUUAUCACAACAUGUCAAAAUUUACGAAUUCUUGUAGCAUAUCUGGUUAGAUAAUGACCUUUAAAUUUUUUUAGUUGUCUGAGCAUGCUGUUCUAUUGCCAUAUUGGUGUCUGAGCCUCUGAGAAAAGGUAUGCAGUGUUUUGAUAAUAGAAAGAUGCAUGGUCAAUUACCAGUAUUUCAACUUUUUGUGGGGUCUGAUGGUAUAAUUUGGGUUUGUCAUUCUUAACCAAAAGAACAGAAAACAGUUAUGAAGAACCGGUUUCUCACACCCUUUUGCCUGCUUCUCCUGCAGGUUCAGCCUCUCAACCUUUUUUUUUCACACAGUAAGUGAAAACUGUGUCGAUGAAUCUUUCUUGUAAUAUUUUUCCACUACAAUUGGUUCCUCAUUGAUCGAUAUAACCUUCUGAUGCUUUUCUUUUUUUGCAGAAGAGAAACCAAUGAGUACUCUUGGGCGUAUAGUGCUGAUAAUAUGGCUUUUUGUUGUCUUAAUAAUUAACUCAAGUUACACUGCUGGUUUGACCUCUAUCCUCACAGUUGAACAGCUCUAUUCUCCUAUCAAAGGAAUCGAAAGUUUAAAAGAUGGUGAUGAUCCUAUUGGAUACCAAGUGGGUUCUUUUGCAGAACAUUAUCUGACCAAUGAAAUUGGUAUUCCUAAAUCCAGGCUUAAAGCCCUUGGAUCCCCAGAAGAGUACGCCACUGCACUUCUAAAGGGUCCGAAAAAAGGAGGUGUUACUGCAGUUGUCGAUGAACGUCCAUAUGUAGAGCUUUUCUUGUCAAGCCAUUGCAAGUUCAGGAUUGUUGGUCAGGCAUUCCCCAAAAGUGGCUGGGGAUUUGUGAGUAACAUCUAUUGUUCUGCUUGCGCUUGCGCAUUUGUGCACUUUGACGAAGAUAAUGUUUGUUUAUUUCGUUGUCUUCUAUUUGUUUCCCAGUGCCCUGUGAAACCUGCUUAUGAUUGGACUAAAUCCAGUUUCAAAAAUUCCUCGAUGGCUAAUUUCUUGCAUCUUUAUGUAGGCAUUUCCACGGGACUCCCCCUUGACCAUUGACUUAUCAACAGCAAUUUUAACGCUAUCAGAAAAUGGAGAUCUCCAGAGAAUUCAUGACAAGUGGGUUACGAAAAACUUGUGCACUACAGAUGAUACCGAGAUUGAAUCAAACCGUCUUCACCUGAGAAGCUUCUGGGUCCUAUUUCUUAUAUGUGGGAUAGUUUGUUUUCUUGCUUUCGUUAUAUACUUGUGGCAGAUUAUUCACAAGUAUCGGGCAGCUGUCGCUGUUGAAUCUGCUUCUAAUGGACAGGUUAGCUCACAUUCUAGACGCCUUCAAACUUUAAUAUCAUUAAUUGAUGAGAAGAAGGAUCAAUCUAGAAGGGACCGAAAAAGAAGGAAGCUCGACAGAUGACCAUGUGCUGCUAAGUAAGAAGAAUGAACUGCCCAGAAACUCUGAAAGGAGACUAUCAGAAAAUUCUUCUGAGAACAACAUAAUAAACUAGAGGAAGUGAAAUCUGUUCACUGGUUAAUAUACUUCUAUCUGUAAAAUUCAAUGUAAUGUACUCAUGUUUGUAUCUUAUGUGAUGUUAGUAAUUAUGUGUAAAUAGGGAAAGUAAAUUGUAGAGUGUAGACAGUCUUCAUCAAAAUGUAUAUAUGCUAUAUAUGCAUUUAGAAAUUCGUUUUCUUGAAUGAACUAUGUUCAUGUAUGGCAACACAUUUAUUUUUUUCUUCUAGUCUUUCUUUCAAGAAUUACGGGCACGAGCACUGGGGGUUAAAUGCAAAUAACAAGCUGCCUGGGUAAUGGGCAUUAGCAUGCUUUCUUUAACAGGUACUCUCCUUGUAUGUUUUGCACAGGCGACUCUCCACUUCUCCCCUUUCCCUCUGUCAUAACCAUCAGCUCAUGCAUAUUGACAGCUAUGAUCAGAAUCCCAUUCUUGGAGGCCAUUGUGUAUUUGAGUCAAAAUCUUGAUAUUUAACGAAAAAGAUGAUGAAGAAAGUAAAGUCUGUUAAAAAAUAAUGCAUGAUUAAAUUUACGGUUGCAUCACAAUUUAUAGAUUUGUUCAGAAUCCCAUUCUUGGAGGCCAUUGUGUAUUUGAGUCAAAAUCUUGAUAUUUAACGAAAAAGAUGAUGAAGAAAGUAAAAUCUGUUAAAAAACAAUGCAUGAUUAAAUUUACGGUUGCAUCACAAUUUAUAGAUUUGUUCAGAAUCCCAUUCUUGGAGGCCAUUGUGUAUUUGAGUCAAAAUCUUGAUAUUUAACGAAAAAGAUGAUGAAAAAAGUAAAGCCUGUUAAAAAACAAUUCAUGAUUAAAUUUAUGGUUGCAUCACAAUUUAUAGAUUUGCAACAACAAAUGAUGUGAUGAAAUUUGAUUCGAUCAAAAUCUCAUCAACCAAAUAUAUAUUAAAAGAACACUUAUAGAUCAACUUAUAUUAAAAAAAAAAAACACUUCGAUAAGAAUAAAGCAGGAUUAAAGGGGGAAAUAAAAAAAAUAGUUGAGAAAAGUUGUUCGCCCAUUGAAGCAGUAGGUGAGCUGGAUUCAGAAUGUCAUGAGACAGUUCGGUUCAUGCCUGGCGUGGGCGUUAGAGCAUUGGAAGGACCUUUUCCUAGUAGAAGAGGAUCGGAAAUAUUUUUGCAUAUACGCCCAAAUCGAUCAAUAAUAUCAUAAUCCGUUAAAUUAGCUCUCCCUAUCAUGCUAGGAUAGGAAAUCCUAUAUUUUAUAUAUCCAUAUGAUUGCGUCAUAUGACUUUCUUUUUGAUACCUCAUCAAUCUGUAAAAGAUAAUGUAAAUGAUGAUAUACGACAAGUGUUUUCCAUGUCAUUUAAUGAGUUUCAAACUGGGGUCUUGAUCAUUAUUGUUAUGCUCAUGAUUUUUAUCAGUACAUUAUCGUUAUUAUGUAUAUAUAGGGGAAGUAUAAUGUACAUCGUAGAUAGCCAUGUAUGGCAAGACAUAUUUUUUUUCUUUCUUCCACCCUUUCUUUUAAGAAUUACGGGCAUCAGCAUUGGUGAUUGAACAUAAAUAACAGAUACUCUCUUCAUAUCUUGCAUGGGCGACUCACAUUCUUUGGGCGUGAAAAUCUCGAUUUGUUUGCAUUGCCAAUAGCACUCUAUCAUGCAAUGUGCAUUUUUAUUUCUGUCCUCUCAUUGUGCCAUAGCCAUCAAAGCACACAAAAUGACAGCAAUAAUCAGAAUCCCACUGUUGGAGACUAAAGAUGAUGAAGAAGGUUUAUGUUUAAGAAUUGAUUUGAUUCUAAUGCAGUGAUGAUGUAAAAAGGCUAUGGAUCUUCUCAACUAUUUAAGGAUAAGCCUGUUCAUAAAUGAUGCACAAUUUAUGCCCAUGUCUUCAAGUUUAACGUUUGAUUCUAAUGCAGUGAUGAUAUAAAAAGUCAAUGAUCUUCUCAACUAUUUAAGGAUAAGCCUGUUCAUAAACAAUGCACAAUUUAUGUCCAUGUCUUCAAGUUUAACAUUUGGAAAGAAAAAUUAAAAUAAAUAAAUAAAUUUUGCAAAUGUGAAAUAACCUCAAUAAUUUUUUAUUUUUUAUUUUUGAAGUUCUAUUGAUGUUAAUGUAUCAUUUUGUUAUGGUAAAUGCAUUUACAAAAUGAAUAUAAUUCUUUUCUUGAUAAUGAAUGACACUGAUACCAUCAUCUUGUUAAUUAAUUAAUAAACUUCAAACUCGGUCAUUAUAAUCAUUAUCGUUAUGCUCCUCUAUAUAUAAUUAAUAGAAGAUACAUAAGACAUUUUUAUUUUACAUUUUGCUAUAGGAAGUGAUAUUGUGUAACUAGCAAUCGUUUCACUAAACAUGAUUCUUAUAUACAGAAAAUAUGAUCAAAUCAAUAUUUAUGGCUUUUUUGACCUAUCAAUAUGUAAAUAAACCAAAUAGUAAGUCGAUUAAAUAAUUGGAAGACGAUGAACAAAUAAUUAAUAUAGCAGUUACUGUGAGGAAAACCAGUCUGAUAUAUCAGGAAAAUGAAGACAUUCAUUCACUUUGUUAUUGUAUAAAGUCAUAUCAAAACUCCGGAAAAUCUACUAGGAACCGGAACUUGACCGCUUUCUCUCACAAAGACAUAUAAAAUGAAAAGAUUACGCAUUAAAAUGUGAUAAAGUUUUGUGAUGACUGUUAAACCCACGAAGGCAGGAACCCAUUUUGAGCAUCCACUGAUACUUUCCUUGUGUGUCUUCUUGCGCAGGCAACUCUGCACCCGCUCUCACAAUCCCAGUGCGUAAAAAUGUCGAUUUGCAUGCAUUCGGAAUAGCACUCUAUCAUGCAAUGUGCAUUCGUAUUUCUCUCCGCCCCUUCUGCCAUUGCCAUCAGCAAAAAUGCGAACAUAAUGAAGGCGAUCAUCAGAAUCCUAUUAUUGGCAGCCAUUGUGUGCUUUUGCCAAAAAUCUUGAUUAUUAACAGCAAAGAUGAUGAAGAAAGUAUGUUUGUAAGAAUGGAUUCUAAUACACUGAUGUAAAAGGCCAAAUCUUUUCAUCUAUUUAUAGAUGAUGAAAGGGUGUCUGUUGCCGUUUUCGUGUCUUUUCAGUUUUCAGUUUCAGAAAGAACACGCCUGUUCAUAAACGACAGUUAAAUUUAUGACCAUGAUCUGGUUUAUUAAUCGACUUGAAGAUUUUUGUAGUAAAUAAUCUUUUAGAAGUCAUUAUUAAUCAGUGAAAUUAAUAGUAUUUGUGACAACAUAAACCUUCGUACUUUCUCUCUCUCAUUAUAUUAUCUUCCGUUGACAUGGAUAUUUUACAUUUUUUCAGUUGAAAGGCAAACUCAUAGCGCAUCAAGCACUUGUUUCUCGGAUCUUAAGAUGGAGAGGGAAAAAAAUGUAUAGAUAGUAAACCAGAGAAAAAAGAGGGUGAAAGCAAGAACACGCCUUUACCGCGAGAAGAGGUAGCGAAUCGAUGGCGCCCCCGAGGAGUUUCUGGUCAUCUUUGUGGCCGGCUACGUUGGAGGAGCUAACGUGCACCUUGUCAUCCCUCUCGAUAACAUUAGCAUCUUUGUCGGCCAUUUGAAUCGGAGCUUGCCUCCCCUUCACAUUGCAAGGCGACGGUUAUCCCUAACCUAACGAAAAAAUAAGGAAAACGAUACCUACCGGCUUAUUCUACUCUUUUCCCAUAGGCCGAAAACCCAAAUUCUCCAAAACCCAAAAGAAGGAAUAGUGAUUCGGAGGACUAAAUUUUCUUGUUUUGUAUCACCAAAUUACGUGAUAUCCUAUUCCGCUGUCGUUUGAGGGAAUUCCGCUGUUUAGGAUCUUGAAAUUCCGUUUUUAAUCUGUUAAGAAGAUUUGUAUCGCACUGGAUUGCAGAAACCCAUGUGAAUUUCUUUAUUCAGAUUGGAAUUUCUAGGGGAAAGUCUGCUUUUCAAGAUGAGGGCGAUGUAAGGGUUUUUCACUUUUCCUUAUUUUCAUGGAUUGUUCGGGUUAUUUCGAAAAUUUGAACUGGUAUACGUGUUUCUGAAGAGAAAGUUCUAAUAAUGUUCAUUGGAACCACAGAGCAGUAGCUCUUUCUUUGGGUUCUCUUAAAUUUUUUCCUUUUAUUUUGUUAAUAGGCAUAGAUCUAAUUUAUUUGGAUUUACGAAUAGACAACAUAUAUUUUUCUUUAACAAGCUGCUCCCUUUCUACCUAUUGAAAGGAGGGGGAUGUUUUACUUCCUGCCAGAAGUCAACAUACGGCCUGAUGAUGAUACAAAUUGAGUUAUUUUCAUAUACUGUAGUGUAAAGGUGCCUUUACUGAUGUUAAAUUGACAAUUUGAAAUCAUUCUUGUUGAUUAAUAUUCCUAUUUUAAUUGAAAAUCUCUCUUGAUAGUUAUCAAAUUUAUUCUCCUCAUGUGACAUUCCUAUCUCUUGAUGAAAGAUGCGAAUAUGAUAAAUGCAUUAAACAAGCUAGAACAUCUUUAAACAACCAUGUGAAUCAUAGAGGUAUAUAUCUCUAUCCUCUAUCGAACCUUACAAUAUUUAUUAUUUUGUACUAAUGAUCGUAUUGUCUCUUUCGAUAACAACAAAAUCCCAAAACAAUUUAACUAGUGGCCAGCUAAUUGAAAAGUAUGAAAAACGAUAAUAAACAUCCAAACAUUCAAACAAAUUUAACGUCAAUUUAAUUAUUCAAAUUAAAAACUUCAUAACAAAGGUUCAUAAUAUCCUAGCAAUAAUGAAAUUAGCCACGUAUGAUGUUGAAAUUAAACAAAUAAAACUUGAACGACAUCACUGAGUAAUUGACGAAGCUUAAUUAAUUUCCAAAUUGACGUUGCCAUGGUCACGUCUUUGUCGUCUUCGUGUUUGCCUUAUCUUCCGUCCAAAUUUGUUUGUGUAAUUCUCCCUUUUCCUCUCUCAGAAGCUGCCCUUUUUUUGUGUUUUCACAUAACUAAUUCAGUCUCCUUUUCCAAUUCUCACAGCACGCGUCUGUCUUCCAAAUUUUGUACAGGCAGCAACCUUUUUUUCUUUACUCCAACUACCGCCGUUUUUGUUUCUUAAUGUAUAUAUUUCCAGCAGGCAGCUCGUUUUCCCCCUUCUUUAAAUUGUCUGCUCCUUCCUUACUGUUUGUGUGUAUGUUAAUGUUAUCACCUCUUGGCUGCCUCCAAUGUGUGUAUAUAAAUAUAUAAACCAGCCUCUUUUUCAAUUUUCCCCAGCUGCCCUUUUUUUUUCUUCUCUCAAGCAGCCGCAAAUUUUCCUUUUUUUAUUUUAUUUUUCGGGUUUACGUAAUUGUGUAUACACUAGUCUAUUGCACAGGCAGGAUUAUUUUGAACAUGAUAUUAGCGUUUUGAAUGUUGAUACGAAUUUACUGUUUGAAGAAGAAGUGAAUCAAUUGGUUAUAAAAAUAUAAUUUGAGGUAAGCUAUCUGUAAUAUUAAUUGGAAAGAUUCCAUAUAGUAAUUACAAAAAAGAACUUAAAAAAUUGAAAUAGAAAAAAACAAUUUUUAUAAAGAAUUAUAAAUUGUCAAAAUAAGCCUUAGAUUUAUAUUUUAUUGGAAUUUAGGAAAUUUGAAUUCAGAUUUUCAAUUUUGUAAUAGAUUUCAUUAAAAUUUAUAUUUUUUCAAUACUUGCUUGGAUUUCUAAAACAUCUUUCUUGAAGUAGUCACAUAAAGUAAUGAUAAAUUAAAUUCUCUUUUUGGAAGGAGAGUUCUCCUAUCACGAAGAAGAACUCUCCUUUCAAGAAGAGAAAACUCUCCUUUUUAGAAGAGAGUUUUCUCCUUUUUAGAAACGAGACUCUCUGCUGACGAAGAGAUUCAUUUUCGUCCACGGAGAGUAUUAUUUUUAAUGCAUAAUUUUAAUUUAAAUGUAUUAUGUUAAUAAUGUAAUUUUUGUUUUUGCAUUUAAAAUUCAUUUUAAUUUUUUUCUCUUUACAAUAAAAUUUAUCUUCUUCAGUUUUAAUGAAAUAAUAUGAAUAUUGUUUGUCUGAUUUUUAUAAUUUUAAUUUAUUUAAUUACGUAAUAUUUUUAUGAGUUUGUUUUGCUCACAUUAUAAAUUCUUUUUUUCUUUUUAGUUGUUUUUUCUUUACGAUAAAAUUUAUUUCUCUAAAUUUUAGUUCAAUAAAAAAAAUAUUUAUAUGUUCUUUGUUUAAUAUUUGUAAAUUUAAUUUUUUUAAUUUCUCUGUUUAAUUAAAUAAUAUUUAUAUAUUGUUUAAGAAAGUAAUUUGUUAAAUUUUGAAUUACUAAAUUUUACUUUUCAUUGUAUUUAUUUGAAUUAAAAAUUUAAACUCUAUCAUAAUUUUUAAAUUUUUUAAAUAUUUUUUAUCUCUUGUUUGUUGCAUCAUAAAUUUUUAUUAUUUCUACUUAAUUUAAAAAUUGUAUUAUUUAGAACAGAAAGAUAAUGAAGAAACUGAAAUUUGUACAACAAUUUAUUAAAGUCAAAAGCAGAUAUGUAUUGCCAUUCGGUAGUAUUAUAACCGUAGUCUUUACCCAAAGGUAUACAAUUAGGGCCGUUAAUGUAGAGAUAGAAAUAGGCUGAUCAUGUUACCUUCUUUAAAAAUUAUAAAAUAAAACACUGCUGCCUAUUGUCACAAAAGUAAUGUAGAUGUUGUUCACUCAUGCUUUUCUUUGGAAGUGAUCACAGUGGUUUGAUCAUCAGUUGUAUAGCCCGUGUGAGUCUUUUUUUUUGGGUCUUGAUUCUGCUUCAGUAGGUACAUUUGAUGGUUGGAAGAGAGACCUUUUUGCAUAUGGUGGAGUAAUUUCUUCAGAAACUGUGUAAUUUUCAUCGGGUUGGCCAUCAACUUUGUUCUUGCCUUUUGCAUGUUUAUUGUCAGAACUUUCUUUCAUUUUAGUUGGCAUGCUCGGAUCAUUUGGGAUAGUUGAAGAAUUCAUUUGAGUUGGCAUGGAGGAGUUGAAUACAAAUAUGAUUUCGAAACGGUAUUCAAGUGGAUCAUAGCACUUUUCUGUCAUUUUUAGGUAAAACAGCAUUUUUCGUAUCACUUUCCAAUUUCAUGACACCAUUGAAUUCUGUAUUUCGCUCCUGUGUAGACGAAAUAUAUUUUUCAAUACAGCGACAUAUUUGUUGUGAAGAAAGAAAGUAUUAUUAAAGGAUGCCGGACGUGAUGUUUUACCUUGUGAAGAUGGUCCAUUAUGGCAUUGGCAUCACUUUCCAAUAACACCUCUACUGCAUCUCUUAUGAUGGUUAUAUCUAAUGAACCAGAUUUGUCUUCAAGUUGAAUGAAAGCAUUUACCCUAAAAACAUUUUUUUUCCAGCUAUAAUUUAUGUACCUUGUUCAUGAAGUAAUUAUUAGUAAAAUUUGAACUUAUGUGUAAUGGAAGAAGUUACCUUGGGAUAGCUUUUGCGUGUUCAUAUUUACAAAAGCGACAUUUAUGAAUUUCUCCAAAGUUUGCGUUGAACGUCCUCUUGUAAUUGCUGCAAGACAUAUACCAAAAUUUUUUGUUUCUUGAUGCUAUUUUCCAAUUUGCUCUCAUCCAGUAGAAUUUUUUCUGUUAAAACAUAUGUCUCCUGUAAUUAGAUAGGGAGAUAGUACGAAGGAAAAUGUAUGUUGUUGCUAUAUUGUGCGUUAUGAAAUAUUGAGAGAAUGUUUUCCUAAGUAUAAAAUUAUCGUUAGGUAGACUCCUAGUAAAUCCUCAAUUGGUGUCAAUUCAUUCUUAGUUGGAGGAGAAAGUUUUGGUGGGCUGACAGCAAUAAAAGACUUAUUUUCUGUCAUCUUGUCAAGUGUUUCUUUGUUAGCUUCAACCCUGCAAUAAAUAAUGACAAAUUUAGAUUUAAAAUACUUCUCUUUUUUUGUUUUUGUUUUUGUUUUUGUUGUUUUUUUUUUGUACAAGAAGCUGUAAAAGCAAAAUGUGUGUUGGGUAUGUUGUAGUACCAUUCUUUGUAUUCUACAAUGGCCAGAGUUGAACGUCAAUGAAAAAAUUGCUGUUUACUUUGGUUGAAAGUGUGAUGCCUGCAGAAAAGAAAUUAGGAAUUAUUUAUAUGACUUUUUUCCUUAAAAAAAAAUCAUAAUAGCAUUAUAGAUGAAGUUGUAUUUGUAAAAUGUAUUUAGUGUUGAAAGAAAAAACCUUAAGAUUUGUAGCCCAUAUGAUGGGUCUAUUUGCAAGGUUUUUAAUUAUUGUAGUACAUUCCCGUUCGACAAAGUUGUCCCAUAAAUUUAGUAUCACAAUUUUGAACUAUUUGUCUAUCAAGAUAACAUCUUGUAGAUAGGCUUUUGUACCAAAGUUAAUUUGAAUAAGUCGUUUAUGUCGAACAGCUAUAGCGAGACCCAUCACACCUACGAGAAGGUCACGUAAAGUGUUUUUUUUAUGUAUUUUUGCAUGUAAUAAAUUUGAAAUGAUUAGUUUAAGUUGAAUAUGUUAGAAAUCCUACUUAUGUCUGUAUUCUUGACCAUAUGCCUCUCUAGUUGAUCAAAUGGAGUGAGUUCAUAUUUUGAGAAUAGGAGAUUCAAGUUAUCCUCAUUUAAUUCCUCAACCUUCGUUCUACCUGUUAUAUUCCAAAUUUUUUGAUCCGGAGAACUCCGAAAUUCACUUUUGAAAUCUUUAACGGUUGCGUUUGAGACAACGUAUGUUUUUCCAAGUUGGAACUCAUCCUUUAGUGUAGUGAUAUUGGCAUCGUACAUUGUUCCUGUCACUCUAUUCCCAUGAUGAACAUUAGAAAAGUAUGAAGAUAUUUACGAAACACAUAGGUAUAGUGAUAGGCAGAAAAUUAUUGGAACGAAAAAUAUAUAUACCUCUAAAUCCAUGAGAGCAAUAUUUUGGUAAUGGCUAUUGGAAUUUCAAGCAGUCUUUGGGGAUUGUUUUCCUGCCACGAUAACUUUUGCUGACCAAUUAGUCUCUGAAGCUGAAAUUUGUGGUAUGAAUUUAUGAGGUGCAGCCAUUUUAUUACUCGUAGAUAAAUAUAGCUAUAAAUGUAAGAUAGUAGUUAAUAUGGAGGGAGAAGAAGAAGGUUGUGUGAAUACAAGUUAGAAUGUGUUACACUAUGAAAGCUGUAAAUGGUAAUGAUAAUCUCUUUGUUUUCGUAGAUGUGAAGUUGAAGCAUUGUGUUAGCCUAUUUAUAGAAUUUCAAACUAAGACGUAAUGGUUUAAUAAAUAUUUUAAUUUUGGGGACGUGAUAUUGGAAGGAUGAGGUGAAAGUAUUAAUGUGUACAUGUUGUCAUCAAUUAUGUAACUGAAGACCGAAUGGUAGAACUGUUGGGUUUCCAAAAGCAAGAUAUAAUACAAAAUGUGUACGAUAUAUGUGGCAAUUUGAGAACAGAAAUCUACGAGAACUGUUGUAAAAUUUUGUUUCGCAAGUGUACGACCCGUAACAAAUAAUAGUGGACCUAAGAGUCCGAUUUGUCGAUCCCACAAGGACUAUUUUCUAGCACUUAAUUCAAUCUUUCUUUAACUACUAUUUGACUAACACAAAUCAAAGGUUGUAAAAUCUGGGUUUUAAUCUAAAUUCUAGAAAAUAAAUGAAUGUUCACACGAUUGGUUGGAGAAUCAAAUAAUGAAUGAAUGUUAGGGUAGAAUAACUUCACCAAUUGAUCACCUUUACAUCUCAAAUUAAAACUCAAUUCUAAUGUAGCGCUCGGUCGAAUUCUCCUAUUGUAUUCAAUUUACCCCUCUUGAGUUUUCAUUGAGCCUAUUCAACUAAUUAAAUUUCAUAUCUCUAUGCAAAUUCAACUUAGUUAAAUGAGUUCUAUAUUUUAGGAAUUCAAUUAUGACCGCAAUAAAUGGUAGAUGUAUCUCUACUCGUUAUACCAAUUUAUUGGAUUUUACUACAUGGUCUAAAUCCUAAACUCAUAUCUCUAUUUGUAAAGAAUUCACAAAAAUCAUCAAAUUAUUGAUCUAAUAAUUUAAUGCAUUCAACUCAUAGCAAAAUCAACACAUGGAAGAAUUAAAAACUGAAAUUCUUAAUAAGAAAAUGUAAAAGAUCCCAAUUGGUUACAUUAUUCCCCCUAACAAUGAAUUUAGCUACUCAUAAUACAAGAAGAAAAGUAGGAAUUUGUCUUAGAAUACAUCACCGAGUUUGUAAUAAAGAUGUAGAAGAAAAAGUAGAAUUCUUGCACCAAGAUCUCAUUCCUCUUCCAAUGAAUGCUUCUAAUCUUCAAAUCUUGGUGUUAAUCUUCUUUAAUUUCUCUUUUGAAUCUCCCUUUUCGUUGACUUCUCUCCAAUAUGUCAAAGAACCCUUCAAAAGUAUGAGGAAGAUGUAUUUGUAGGUGCCCCUCCGUUUUAUGUAGAAGUAGGGUUUUUAUGGAUUUAAAAAUGGCCCAAAAAAAUGCGCCCUAGAUUUUCAAUCGUAACGCGUAGGCGCUACAAGACAGCGCCUAAGCCCUAACUACAGCGCCUAGGCGCUAUGUCUUCAGCACCUAGGCACUGAUGGUAGUGCCUGGGCGCUGCCUCUCUGGUUCAAAUUUCAUCCUUUUUCAGUUUUGUAGCGCCUAAGCGCUAUGAAUGCAGCACCUAAGCGCCGUCUUUCUGCCCCAUUCCAUGUUUUUGGUCUCUUCAUUCACUUUAAUACUUCUUUUCACAUCGCUUCUCCUAAUCUUCAAAACAACACUAACAAACACAUUAAAAACGUUCUAUACUCACAAGAUCUAUCAUUUAAUCAAGCUAAAAUUGUGCGAAAAUCAUGAGUGAAAUAACUCAUCAAGAACCAGAGACAGCUCUUCGAACAACAUCGAAAAUGGCAAGAAGAUUACCUGCAAUCUAGCUUGCGUUCCUACAUGGACACUUCAUUGUCAAGUUUCUUUAACAUACAAUUGGGGAAAGACAAACAAUUAUUCCAACAACAACAAAAAUGGCUAGAAGAUCAUUACCAGACCAUGCACUCUUAUGUGGAUACCAGUCUAGAUUCCAUACGAUAUUAUGUUCAUGAACAAAAUAAGAAUACGCUGCAAAAGUUUUCUGACUGGCAAUCAAAUAUGGAAGCCAUUAUAAGUUGUAUGCAACAAGACAUUCCUAUUGGAAGAGAUCCAAUUCCUGAUGAUCAACCAAAGGAUACUUCAACGUCUCAACAGGUUGAAAGUGUUGAAACACUGCAAAGAGAGAGGAAAAAGAAGAGAAAACAGAUACAAACUUCGUUGUCUACAAGAAAUCGUUUAGUAAAUUAAAUAAAAAAAAAGAUUACACUUUAAAAAAUGACUUACAAGUAAAAGAAGCACAUGAAGUAAUUUAAAAUUAAUUACAAAAACUUAUAAUUGUAAAAGCUACUUAUAGUUAAAAAAAAUAUUAAUCUCACCUUCUCUUACAAUUGCAAAAGCUACUUAUACGUAAAAAAAAUUAACUUAAAAACUUGUUAAGUAUAAAUAUUUAGAUAUAUUUAGUUGCUUAAAUUAAAUAUUAAUAAAAAAAUGACUUUAUCUAGAAUGUAAAAAGUUAGUAAAAAAAAUUACUAUCUAAAAUGUAAAAAGUUAGUAAAAAAAAUUACAAGAAGUUAUUUAAAAGUAUUAAUAAGAAUACUUAUAAUUGUAAAAGCUACUUAUGGAUAAAAAAUUAUUAAUUUCAAUAUUAUUAAGUAAAAAUUUAACUAUAUUUCCCAUUUACUUUAAAAGAGAGGAUCCAACAUUUACUGUUCAACCUGAGGCAGCGGUUUCACACUUAACUUGUUUUGUAUUGUAGCUGAACUUAUUAUGCGCUAUUCAUCACAAAAAAAAAAGUUCUUCUGGAAAUAAUAAUGAAAUAUGGCAGCAUUAUUGCUGUCUUUAUUGACUUUAUAGAACCAUUUUACUGUAGUUUCACUUAAAAAAUAUCCUUUCACUUCGUUAGAUGAUGUAGCUUCCAGAAAUGAAAUUAAUGAGACCAUUUUAUUGCCUCCAUUGUUGACUUACACAAGUGAUUUACUGUAGCCGUCCCUUCCAAAAAAAAUCUUCUCGUGCAUCAUGAGAGAGUGAGACAAAAAUUAUGGCAGCGAAUUGUAGGAAUUUUUUAUCAUGCCAAUUACUAUUCGUUCAGGAAGUAUUUUAUUAUUGCCCAUUUGACCCUUAUAUGCAUACCGAUGAGCCAUUCACUCCUAACCGGAUACAAUAAUUUUUUCCUUGGAUAAUUGAUUUUGUGUUUUAUAUCACAUAUCAUUUUUAUUAUAAAAAUUGUCGCGAAAAAAUAAUAAAGAUUAAUAAAUAAUUGAUUUUUUUAAAGAAGAAAGACGAGUUAUACGUAUUUUUUAAAACACACGUUUGAUGUAUGUUUAACUAUUUUUGAUAUCCAUUUAGAUCAUUCAAUGCGUCUAUGACAUAGUUCUCGAAAUGAGUUUCGAGAGAAUAUAGAAGAUUUAUGUAUUCGACUACGGUACAAUCGUCGAUGAAUUUAUAAAGUUAGCAUGUUAUCGAAAUUCUUAAUUUUUUAAAUAAUGUCUCUUUUGACAUUAAAAAAAAUUUAAAAGUUUAUUAGAAAAUUUUCUAAAUGACGUCAAAAAUUAUUGUCACGAAAAAAUAAUAAAUAUUAAUAAAAUAAUUGAUUUUUUUAAGAAAAAAGACAAGUUAUACACAUUUUUUAACACACACGUUUGAUAUACGUUUAACUAUUUUCAAUAUUCAUUUAGAUCAUUCGAUAUGUUUAUGAUAUAGUUCUUGAAAUGAGUUUCAAGAAAAUAUAGAAGAUUUAUGGUAGAUUUUUAUAAAUAAAUAAAAUCGCGCAUCACGGAGCAUUUGGAGUUACUCCGUUAGGCAACCUUUUUUUUCUUUUUUUAAAUAGAUGAUGUUCAGUGUCAAAUUUUUUUUCUCCAUGAAUUUUGCAUUUAUUAUAUUCUUAUUAGUGUAUGAAUUUUAGUUUUUUGGAAAGUUUUUGAAGCAAUAUCUAGAAAUAUUUUCAUGAUAUAAGAAAAUAAUUGUAAAUUAUUUUUACAAUUGUAUAACAAUAUUGUGUCAUCUAGAAAAAAUAUACUUGUAUAUUUCAUACUUGAAUAAGAAAUAUACAAGAUUAUACAAAUUUUUUGCUUGUAUUCUUUGAUAGUGUUAAUAUGAUUGAGUUGAAUGUGAAUAUUAUAUUUCUAAAUUUAGUGUAAUUUAUUAUUGAAAAAUUGAAGAUUGAGCACCAUAUUCAUAUGUAUUUAUAUUUUGUGCUUCAUAUAUAUUUAAUAUUUAUUUUAUACUUAUGUUGAAAAAAUAAAAAUUUGAAUUUUUUUUUGAAAUUCGGUUUGAUAAGUGAAUGUACGGUAUUCUGCAUUCUCAAUAUUUGUAAGUGCAAAAAUCGAUAUAUAAAAAUACAGUAAGCUAUAAUUACGGUAGGCAACAUAUACGAUAAGUUGCAAAUAUGGUAGGUAGCAUAUACAGUAAGGUGAAAAUAAAGUAAGUUACGGUAAGUUGCAAAUAUGGUAGGCAGCAUAUAUGGUAAGGUGAAAAUACGGUAAGUUGUUUGCAAAUACGGUAGGCUGCAAAUACGGUAGGCAACAUAUACGGUAAGGUGCAAAUAUGAUAAGUUGUUUACAAAUACGGUAGGUCGCAAAUACGGUAAGCUACAAAUACGAUAUCCAGUAUAUACGGUAAGCUGCAUAUAUGAAUUUAUAAUUUGUUAUAAAUGUAUAAAAUUUAUUUAAUAUUGAAUUUCUUAAAUAUUAAAUAUUGUAAUUCAAUAUUGUUUCCUUUUUUACAAUUGUAUUUUCGAAAAUUAAAAAAAGAAAGUGGUUAUGAACUGCUAAUUUUUAAAUGUAUUUUUUUGUUGGAGAUAAAAUUGUUUUUUUAUGUUAUUUGUAAAAAAAAAUUAUUAUGUAUUUUUAUUUUUUACAUUUUGUGAAGAAUAUUUUUUAUGGUGAUUUCACAAUAAUAGAAUGGAGAUAAGGGUGUAUAUUUUUAUCAGGAAUUUCACAAGAGACUAUCCUAUCAACUUGUUCAGUGGAAGAAAUUUUAUGACCACAAUUAAAAAUCAACAAUAGAUGUGCGUGAGGGAGACCUCUUUUUUGAAGUUCAAUCACAUAUAUAUGAGCAAUAAUAGGACCAAAAAUAUCGUUUUAAUACAAAUCAUUUUUAAGUUCUUCUAACUUUGCUCUAAAUACACGUACAAUCAAAUUUGGUCGAUUUUGAAACUCAUCAUUGUGUUUUAAUUCUUGCUUAAUUUCUGGCUAAUUUGGAUUACAUGUUAUAGUUAGGAAUAAAUCUGGUUUUCCAUAAUGUUGGACAAGAGCCAUAGCAUUUAAGUACCUCCUUAGCAUAUCUCUAAGUCCACAUGUAAAGGAUUAUGGUAAAACAACUUUUUUCCCAAUUUUGUUCCCUCUAAUUUCUCCUUUAUGUACACUAUCUACAAUACCUUGAUAAAGUUUAGCACGAAUUUGUUUCUGAUUAUUACAAAAAUAAUCUAACCUGGAUGUCUCUAUCUUAACGUACAUAUCUACAACAUAUUGUUGGAAAAGUCACCAGUAUGAAGCAAUACAGACUUACCAGAAGUUCUAGUUUGUAACUUGUACAAAUAGUACUCACGACAUGAUACUUGUGACCGUUUCUUCGUUUCCUUAAGCACUACACGAGGAAAAAUGAAGCAAAUUUUAUAUUUACUUCAAACAUCACAUCUAUGGAGAUAUAAGAAAGACACAAGAAAGUACAUGAACAAACCAUUAGCCUCUUUUUCAAUAAUUUGAGCUACAAAAUUUAUUAUAUUAGGAUUAGCAACAUGGUCGACCAAUUGCGCAAGCUGAGAAGAUGUGUUUUCGUAUCUGUGAAUACCUUCAUGCCAACCACAUUCACCAAAUGAGAAAAGCAAAGGUUAUUACAAAGGAUCAUAACAACCAUAAUAAUAAUGAAUCCUAUGCGAAUCACUAGAAUGUCCAUAUAUAGUAAUAUUACGAACAUGAAUAUUUGUGUUUUCAUCAUCCUCAACCCAUAUGAUAGCUACUUAAGACGCCGACAGAGUAUUAAAAACUCUCUGAUCGAGUCCUCGGUGAUAUCUUAUUUGUAUUUUAUGCUCAUGCAAAUCGGUUAUAUUAUUUAGAGACCUAAAGAAUUUACUAUACGGAUUUACCUUCAAGAUUUCAAUUAGAAAAAGCAAAGUGGAUUCUACCAGACUUUCGGAAGUUUUCAUUCGAUUUUGGAGUUCAUUAUCUGUAUCGUAAAAAUAUAAUUGUAUAUAAGAAGGCAUAUUAUUAUCCAGCAUAAGUUGAUUUACAUAAUGAUAUACUUGUUCCUGAACUCUAAAUGUGUAAAUACCUUGGUAUCCUUUAAACAGUUCCUUAUCGUACUUUACACCAAAUGAAGUGAAAGCAAAGUGAUUCUUAUAUCCACGCGCAAGUUUUUUAAUUCCAAACAUGCAUGUUCUUUAGACGUAAAUAGAGUGUACAAUUCAUCGGUGAAUCAUGCAUAAAAAGUUUCACUUUCGAUCAGAGCAACAAAAACUUUUAGUUGCUCUAUACAAUUUGCGAACGCCACAAUGCUUACAAUAAGUGCACGUCGGUAAUACAUAUGCAGUAGUUGGUAUACUAAACAAAUUAGAACUUUCAUGUAAUUCAGAAUCAAAAACAUUAAUCGUCUCUUCAUUCGAAGUAAAAGCCUCAGAAUGAGAAUGUAUUAUAUAUUCAUGCCCAUAAUCAACACCAGAACUAUUAUUUUUAGAUAACAUUGGAUCAUUUAUCCUCUUACGACGAUCAAUACUUAUAGUUUGAAUUCGAUUCCUCCUAUCCACCCGCCUUUGAUUUUGUUGUUGGUGAAUGAAAGCAUUAUACGAUUUAUUUGUGCUAUGAGAUAAAGUUUCAAGAUCAAAAUAACCAGGCUCGUCAUUUGUAGAUUUUUGCAGAGAAUCCAUCAGAAGAAUAAAUUUACCACUGAUUUUGAAUAAUACGAAAAAUUAUUAAUUCAAUUAGAAACUAACAAAUAAUAAUUGCAUUUAAAAUACUGUAAAAUAAGUGUGGUAAAUAAGAAAAAGUUUUGCGACAAAGCAAACUUCCAACAACAACAUAAACUUCAUAGCCAUAUCUAAUAAAAAAUAGACAACUCCAAUUAGAUUUUCACGUAUAUAUAGAGAUAAGAAUAUACCUCACAUCUAGGUAGAGUAAGAUGAGCCAAGCUACAUUUUCAUUUAUACACAGAAAUAAAACCUACAUACCUUAAAUAAAUUCAAAAGAAACCCAAAAACGAAAACACAAACAAAGUAAAUAAAAAAAAAAUUGCAAGAACUUACCCAAAGUUAAUCGUCACAAUUUCUUCCCUAUGGUUAAGAUACGGACUGCACGACUUUUUUUCCCCACUAAAAGAAACAAAAAUUUAGAGAGUUUUUUUUUUUCCAUAGAUGAAAGUUGAAUUUUGGAAUUGAAGGAGAGAGGAUGAGUGAAUUCAAAGAGUGAUAGACAGUAGAUUAUUUAUAUUUUCUUAAUAAUAUAAUAUAAUAAAAAAAAAUACCAAACCACUUUGAUCAAAUCCAUUUCAAACUAGUUGAAUGUGAAAACACAUGUAAUAAAAACGAACAAUCUAACUCUGCACACAAAAGAGCACUUCAAUUUAUUUUUAAAAUUUAAAAAGUAAUAACUCUCUUAUAAUUGUAAAAAGCUACUCUAUAUAUCUAUCUAUAAAUUAAAAAAAGGUAUUAACUUAAAAUUUUUUAAGUACAAAUAUUUACAUAUAUUUAGUUUUUUAAAUUUUAAAUAUUAAUAAAAAGGAUACACCAUCUAGAACGUAACAAGUUACUUAUAAGUAAAAAACAUUACUUCAAGUUAUCUAAAAUAAUAAAUAAUUGCAAAAAGUACUUAUAUAGAUAAAAAAAAAUUAAAUUCAACAUUUUUAAAUAAAUAUUUAGAUAUAUUUAAUAUUUUUAAAAUUAAAUAUUAAAAAAAUAUUAACAUGAAAUAAUUUUUUUUUCAAAAUGCCUCCGUGCAUGGAGUGUUAUAUGAAAUAAUUUUUUUUUUUCAAAAUGCCUCCGUGCAUGGAGUGAUAACACUCCAUGCACGGAAUAUUAAAAAAAUAUUAACAUGAAAUAAUUUUAUUUCUUUUUUUUUUAUUUCAAAACGACUCCGUGCAGGGAGUGAAAAUAUGAAGUGAUUUUCACUCUCAUGUGCAUGGGAGUGAUUUUCACUCCAUGCACGUGUUUAAUUGUAAAAAUAUUAAUUAUAUCUAAAUUUACUUAAAAGUGUUAAAGUUAAUUUUUUUUUUAUAAAUAGCUUUUACAAUUAUAGGUUUUUUUUUAAUUUUAAAUAAUUGGAAAUGAGUUUUUUACUUAUAAGUAACUUUUUAAAUUCUCUAUCGUCUAAUCCUUUUAUCAAUAUUGAAGAAAGGAUAAGCAACUUUUAAAAUAAGAAGGGAUAAGUAUAAAUAAAAAAAUAAAAAAGUAUUAACUUAAAUUUUUUUAAGUACGAAUAUGUACAUAUAUCUAGUUUUUUAAAUUUUCAAUAUUAAUAAAAAUAAUACACCGGCUAGAAUGUAGCAAGUUACUUAUAAGUAAAAAAGUCACUCAAGUUAUCUAAAAUAAUAAAUAAUUGUAAAAGGUACUUAUAUGGAUAAAAAAAAUUAACUUCAACAUUUUUAAGUAAAUAUUUAGAUAUAUUUAAUAUUUUUAAAAUUAAAUAUUCAAAAAAUAUUAACUUGAAACAAAAAAAAUUUUUUUUCAAAGCACCUCCGUGCAUGGAGCUGCAUAGAGAUUUUCACUCCCAUGCAUGGAGAUUAUUUUUUAAAAAUUUUAUCCAUAAUAAUAUUUAAUUGUAAAAAUAUUAAAUAUAUCUAAAUUUACCUAAAAGUGUUGAAGUUGAUAUUUUUUUCUAUGAAUAGCUUUUACUAGAGGUGGGCGCGGGUCGGUUAGGUUCGGUUCUUUUUAGAACCGAACCGGACCAAAAUUUUCGGGUAUCUAGUAAAUGGAACCGUCGGAUCCAAAUAUAAUUAUGGAACCGUUCGGGUUCGGUUCGGUUCCGUACUAUAAUUAAUUUUUUUAAUAUUUAUAACAACAUUAUAUAAAUACAACUAAUGACACAUUCAAUGAUUUUGGAAUAUCAGAGACUAGUAGAUUACUUUGUUCAAAUGAUCACUACGGUCAAAGCUUUGAUCGGAGGUCACAGCGUCGAUCGGCGAUUGCAUAUGUUUUGGAAUGUCAGCGAGGCUGCGAGAGUGAGUACGAGAGUCAAGACAGCGUUAUGCACUUUAGUGUAGGUGUUUAGGGUUAUUUACUUGGUUGGAUCUUGUUGGACUAAGAAAAGAAACAAUAAAAUGGGUAAUUGAGCAAAAAAUUAAAAAUGAAACAAAUUAUUGGGCCAAAACUUUGGAUUUAGAAAUUGUUAAUUUGUUUAGAAAAAAUUAGAAUUAAAAUAAUUUGAUUUAUUCAAUAUUAAAAAAAUAUAGAAAGAUUCGGUUCUUGGUCUAGAAUCGAGAACCGAAUUGUACCCGUCGAUUCUCAAUUCAGAUACCCGUUCGGUAUUUAAUUUGACAAGAAUCGUGGGGUUUGGUUCGGUCUGAUUCGGGUUCGGUUCGGUUCGGGAGAUUUACCCAGCCCUAGCUUUUACAAUUAUAGGUUUUUCUAUUAUUUUUAAAUAAUUGGAAAUGAUUUUACAAUUAUAGGUUUGUUUAAAUAAUUUUCGUUUAUUAUAAUUUAACAGCUACAUAAUAAAUUAUUUCUAUUUAUCUCUCCAACUUUUAUUAUACAAUAUAAUAGUAUUGCCUCUAAUCAACUGAAAGCGAAGUAGUGUUAUUCAUAAUAAUAUUUAAUUUUAAAAAUAUUAAAUAUAUCUAAAAAAAAAAGUUGAACCCCAACAUUAAGGCACCUACCGCCCCGCUCCUAGAGCUUUGUGAGGGAGAUAAAUCGCGGAAUAUGCCCCAACAGGCCAGAGAACAAGAGCUGCAUGUACACUGCGCCUACAAAGAGUCCGAUUUCAUGACUCAAUAAUCGAACCCCCACACUGUGGCUGCCAGCAAGACGUGAUAUAACCUCACUCCCAUCUUUUGCACCACUGUGCUAUGCCCCGGGAGGGAAAUAUUAAAUAUAUCUAAAUUUACUUUAAAGUGUUGAAAUUGAUAUUUUUUUCCUAUGAAUAGCUUUUACAAUUAUAGUUUUGUUAUAAUAAUUUUCGUUUAUUAUAAUUUAAUAGCUACAUAAUAAAUUAUUUCUAUUUUUCUCUCCAACUUAUUUUAUUUUACAAUAUAAUAGUACUGCCUCUAAUCAACUGAAAGCGAAGUAGUAUAUGAAAAUGGAUAAAUCAUUAAAACGGCAUGUCAAAAUCUUGAGAUGGCAUGUGAAAAUAGCACUGUAGUGUGAUUGAAUAGAAUAAUUUACUGUUACCAAACCAGUUUCAAACCAGCUUCGUGUGAAAAUCUAUAUGACAAAAAUGAACAAUAAACCUCACAUUCUCUCCUUUAAGGUAAGGAGGGAUACACACACCAAAGAAUCCAGCCCAUUUUCUUUUCAUUCAUAUUCUCGGUCCAAUUGCAAAGGCUCAAUUUGAUUAAUGCCCUUUUUAAAAUAUGCCACCAACUGUCCAAGUAAGCUAAUUUAGCCCUUGAUAAAAUUUAUUUUUGCACUCAUAUCCUUUUAAUUCAAUUUACGUCCUUCAACUUUUCGAAGUGUGGAAUAUUAUCUCCAAUUAUUCAUCUAAUGGCCAAUUUAUCCUUCCAAAUGUUUCAAAACGAGUUAAACACUAAAACAACGAAAAAUAACCCAAAUUAAAUAGAAGUAAUAAUUUGACGACAUAAACGUUUAGUAAUGUGGCAUAAAUAAUUGCACAAUAUGUACUUAUCAGAUUGAAUGCAAAUAAAAAACUGCUUAGGUAAUAGGCAUCAGCAUGUCUUCCUUAACAGAUACUCUCCUUGUAUGUCUUGCACAGGCGACUCUCCACUUCUCUUUUCCUUCAGCCAUAACCAUCAGCGCAUACUUAAUGACAGCUAUAAUCAGAAUCCCAUUCUUGGAGGCCACCAUUGUGUGUGUACUUGAGUGAAAAUCUUGCAAAAGGACAAAUCUUCUCAAUUAUUUAAAGAUGAUGAAAGGGUGCGUCUUGAAGCAUCCGAGUCUGUUCAUAAACGAUGCAUGAUUAAAUUUACAGCUGUGCGUCAUAUACAUGGAAAGGGAAAAAAAACCAAUGGAAAUUAUGCUUAAAUCCCUAAACUGGAACAUGUUCCGUCUUGAACCUAUUAAGGGAAGGGAAGAGAAUAAAUUUAAGUACAAAGUGUAUAACAAAAUCUCUCACAAGAAAUAAGUUUCUAGGAUGUCAAGGUUAUUUAUCUCAAAUGAUACGAGCACGGGGAAUAUACCUCCUCCAUCAUAUAGUAUAAUAGUAGCAAAAGAUAUAGAGGAAGACAAUAAAAGAGAAUUUAUCAAAUGACUAAGAUCUUGCCAUCUAAUUUAUGGAUAACAAUGCUUAACCAUUGCAAAAAACGCAACAAAUUUUCAGACAUCAAAAUAGCAUGUUGUGCAACAUUUAACAAAUGCAAGAAAAAGGAACUUUUGAUAAUCAUCAGAAAAUGGAAUGGAAGGGCCUAUUUUUCUCCCAUGCAUUCACAUUCCACUCAAUUAAUAUGUUGCUCAUUUGAUGAUGCAUCAGAUAACAUGUAGAUUAGAUUUAACAUCCUGCAUAACUUCAAAUAUUUCUAAUAACAAGAUCGGUUCAAUGAAAGAAUACACAUUAGAUUCAUGAUAUGUCACAUUUUAAACAAAAUUUAGUAUGUCAAAACAUUGUUAAUUGAAAUUAAGAGAGUUCCAAAUUACCAACAUUACACGAGGACUUGUGAGACAAUUUCAAGAAAUCUUUCGAUUAUUUUGGAUGGAAACUUUUUCGGGUAGCAGUAGGGAUGUAAAUUGGGCUCGUCGGCUCAAUCCAAAAAAAGCCUUAGCUGCCCCGGCUUGUGGGUCGGGCCGAGCCUCAUUUUGGAACGUCGACUCUAGCCCGCCCAACCUGUUUUAUGGGCCAUUCGGCUCUAGCCGAAAAAAAGAUGGCAGCAAAUCAAAGUUGCCUUAGCCGACAGCUGCUGCCUGUUAGAUUGAAAUUGAUUUGAAUUUAAAUGGUUUGAUUUUUUUGGUUAUAAAUAUGAGUUAAAUUUCUCAGUUUCAUAUCAAUUUUAACUUGCAGUAUUUUGAUUGUAACUGGUCCUAAAUCGGGAAAAAAGAGAAGGGAUGUAACUUUUAUUUAAUUUAUAAUUCUUAAAAAUUGUACAAAUUUAAGAAUUGUCAUGAAAAAAAAAUCGCGAACCAGCUCGGCUUGAUAAGGCCCAAGUGUAGAUUUGCCAGGCAAAAUUUCUGUUCCGCUCCGGCUUGCAAAAAAGCUCGGAUCACUUUACUCGAGCUGAGCCCAAGCAUCGAGUUUCGGCUCUACUCGUUGACAAGCCUAGUUACCAGGAUUCAGAAUCAUACUUCUUUUCAUACACGACCUAGAACGAACAAUAAAAGAACUUUUGAAAAGUUAUACCGUCGUAAAUAUUUUAUAUCAAAAGAUAACCACAAAGCAUAAAGGAAAGGGCAUGAUUUAAUUAUUAUAAGUUCAUGUAUAGAAAUUAAACUACAACAAAAUUAAUGCAGCGACCAUUCCAAACAUAAAAAUUUAAAAUUAAAAGCCAAUAAUCCACAGUGACCAAAACUAGACUAGAUUGCCACUUCUAAUUAGUUAGAGUACUAAGAUAUCCAUAUCAAUAGCAGGAGGACCAAAUCACUUCUUCUGCAUAAUUUUUGGAUCACCAAAUAUAGAGGAUCAAACUAUCGAUUCUGUAUAAUUGGCAUGCUAAAUUGUCUGUUCUUGUUAGUUGGAAGACGUAAGAUCACUUCUGAAUAGUUGGAGAUUUAAUAGGUUGAUUACCAUACUUCAGUUUCUGAAUAGAUUGAGGACUAAUAUGCUCUUACAAAAUAGUUGGAGGACUAUAUUGCUUAUUAUUAGUAUUUCGUGAUGCUAUUGCCCUUUGUUCAUGUUGGAGGAUCCAUUUGCGACCACUAAAUAGUUGCAGGAUGAAUUUUUUGUUUAUAACUGGAUGGAGGGUGAACUUAAAUCAAUCCAAACUGAAACUGGAACCAAAGCUAAACCAAUACCCAACCCAAUACUCAGUGUUUUAUUGUGAACAUAGAAAGAAAAUAAAUUCAGGCAAUUGAAUUGCCUAGAAAUUAGUUGCAUGAAAAUUGUCUAUUAAGAGGGUGUUUGAUGGAAAUUAAAAUUAGAUUUUUAGAAUAUUGUGAUACAAGUUUUUGAAAUGUGUGAUUGAAAAGUUGUGAGACCCAUGAAAGAUGCGAUUAAUAUUGAUUGUUUGACUUUGAUUUAGAUUAAAAUCAAAUUUUUAAUCCGUACCAAACAACCUGUAAAUUUGUAAUACCAUUGAUAGGAAGUCUACUUAAGCUCAUAGAUAAUUUCUUUAAUUUGUAAACCAUCUGACGUAGUUUAAGAUUAAAAUAUCUCACAAGUGCCAUAAUUAUCCUAAAAGAGUUUUUCAUAGAAACCAAAGAGAGUUUCUUUAAAGUUAAUGCUUUCCUUCUAAGUAAAGUCAUUUACAACAAAACAAGCCUUAUAUCUCAACACAUCACCCCUCAAAUUCCUCUUGAUUUUAAAUAUCCCUUUACAACCAAAAAGUUCCACACCUUUAGGCAAUGGGAUGAGUUCCUAAACGUCAUUGUCGCUCAUGAUCUUAUCUCUUUAUUAAUGGUAUCAGUCCACUCUUGAGAAUUACUCAUUUGCAUUUUUUGAUGAAAGUUAAUUGAUCAAAUCUUCUUCCACCAAAUCUAAUGACAUCCUUAUUUUCUUAGAGAAAGAAUAUAAAGUUAGCUAUAUUGUCUCUCUCUUUUCUUUAGUGAAUCUCCUUAAUGGUAUUUAUUCUUGAUGUUGUUGAGUUUGUCAUUUUGAAACAAUCUCUUGAUUGUGUAUAGGGGAUGUUGUGAUAUUGUCUUGAUCCAAAAUUACUUCUUGAAUAAGGUCUGGAGUAAGAAUUUGUCCUAGUUUCGAUCAUUGGCAAUUGUAACAGAAGAGAUAUAUUCAUAUUCUUUCUCAAAGACAAAAUCCUUAACCUUAUAACCUUAUCUCUUGGCACAAACUCUACAUUCUCAAAGAAUUGGACAUUUCCCAUUUUGAAAAUCGACCUAGUUGUGGGAUCUUAAAAUUUGAAGCCCCUUGACCCUUCAAAGUAAUCAAUAAAUUAGCAAUUGAUAAUUCUAGAGUCCAGUUUAUUUUUCGAUUGCCUAUAAAGCAUUGACUUAACUACCCAUAUGUGCAAGUGUUUCAAAAUAGACUUUUUGUCUAUCCAAAGCUUGUAAAGGGUUUUAACAGUUACUUUACUUGAAACUUUAUUGAGAAUUUAAGUUGUAGUCUUUAGUUCUUCAGCUUAGAGAGAUUUAGUGUACUAUGGGAUGAUUCCACAUUCCCGUAGGAAUUUAGCAAAAGGCCAUGUACGUUGUUCUCCUGAUUCGUCAUAUCUUUCAUAAUAUUCACCACUAUGGUAAGAUUUGACUUGUUUAAUUGUUUUAUUGAGUUAAAUUACAACAUCAGUUUAAUAAGCAUUGAUGUGGUCUAGUGGUUGAGAUUUCUUAUGAAUGAGAUAUAGGUAGUCAUAGCAAGAAUAAUCCUCCAUGAACAUAAUAUGUGAUUGUUGACCAUUCUAAAAAGUUGAACGGAAGUGACCCAAAGAUAUCCGUAUGAGUUAGUUCUAAAAGAUUAGAAGUUCCAUUGGCACCUAGUCUUCUUAUAUUUGUUUAUUUUUCCUUAAUGCAAUUAUCAUAAACACUUAAGUCUAAAAAAUCUAGCGGAUCAAGAAUUCAUUCUGACACAAUUUUUUCCUUUUUCCUUUAAGAUAUGUGACUUAAUUGCUUGUUUCCAUAACAAAGUGAAAUUCUUAUUGGUUACUUUAUAUUUACUACCAUGUGAAUUUACAAGUAAGGUUUCUUUAUAAAAGGCCAUCGAAUUAAGCAAAUAUGGGUUAUCGUAACCAGAUAAAGAACUGGUACCCACAACAUUUGAAUUAAGAAAGAGACAAAGCUUAUUAUUUUCAAACGAACAAGAUUAAUCGAAUUUGUCCAAUAUAGAAAUAGAAUCAAAGUACGUUUUAAAAGACUGCAUUGCAAAUAUCUCUUUUAAAUCCAAAUAAUAAUCAGUCUUUAAUAACCUAAAAGUCUAUAUAGCCUAAUUUUAAUUGAUUUGCUAUCGUUUGCACAGAUGAAUCUUUCGGCAUCAAUUGGCUAUUGACUGUUCAGGCAACCCCACAUAGACACGCUUAUUUGAAUAGUGACACCGAAAUUUAUCCACUAAGUGCGUCUAGGUACUGAAACCAAAUUAACUUUUGAAUAGACUAAAAUGAGAAUUGUAGUUUAUUUUACACGCCAAACAUGUCACUUAGUACAAUCUCUCUUCACGUGUUCCAAUUUUUUCAAAAGUAACAGCUAGAUGAUUUAUCUUUUUCUGGCUUUUGCUGUUUCUUUUCAACCGAACUAGAUAUAGCUUUCUUAUUCUUUAGCUUGUCCUUAGAGUUACUUACCAAGUGAAUAGUAUCAAUUUUAUCUUGCUUUUGUCUUUCUUCUUCUUAAGAGUCCAUUACCCAUUUUUUGACAAUUAGCUCUGAUAGCACUUGUUAAAACUUCAUAAAACUUUAAAACUAGAAAAAUUAAAUUCUUUUAUUGCUAAGAUCCUCCAUGUUAAAUUAUCAAAAGAAUUAUUAAAUGCGGAAAAAACCUUAAUUCAUUGAAAAUGAUUCUUUAUUACUGAAUCUUGAAUCCGGAUCUUGAAAUUUGAACUACAAUCUUUUCAUGUUUAACUUCUUUGCUUUAAAUCUUGAAUAUUGCCUCUUUUGAUUCUUGAAUUCUUGUUUUUGACUUUGGCUUUUUGCUCCAUAAUCUCGAUCUUUCAAUUUCUUCUUCUUGACUCUUGAUUCUUGAUUGUUGAUCUUGAUUUUGGGUUUUGGAUCUUCUUUUUAAAUAUAUUUUCUCUUAAUAUUCAUUUAUUGACAAGAUAUCACAAAGAAUGAGAAUCACAUAUGAAUUGGUAACCAUAUAUAUUCAUAAGUAUUUCGCUCAUCAUAAAAUAGAACCAUACCGGAUCUAGUCUCUAUACAUAUAAUCCAACCCCACAGUUUAUUUAGAUGCCCUAAACUCAACAAUUCAAUUUAGGCCACGACUCACCAAAGACGAGCAUCACUCAUCCUUCACAUCGAUAAAUCAUGUAAUUCACUUGAGAAACCCACUUGGACCAUUCAAUUUUUAGGCCAUGAGUCGCCAAUGAGAUAACUGAAACAAAACAUACCAAACUAUGAAUAUAUUUAGGAAGUUGGAACGGGAUAUAUAACAAGAAGUAGGUAGUAGUUAGAAAAAUAAUGAAUCUUCCGUCACAAAAGAUAGAUCUAGUAAAACUCGAUUUUGUAAAAACUCUAGUUGAAAAAAGGAGACUAUUCACUUUUUUGUCACAAAAAGAAAUAACAAUCUAUUCAUGUUCAAUAAUUACUAACAUCCAACGAAACAUAUGUCAUAGCUUCACAAAGUUCCAUCAAUUAUUUGAUUGUGAAGAAGACUUAGCUCUUGUUUGGUACAAAUUUUAUGCCAAUUAAAAUCAAUUUUUUGAUCAUUAUUUCACAAUUUCAGCCGUUAUUUUUGAAUUCUUCUCUCACAAAUAGGGCCUAUUUUGUCUUUAAAGGUCAAAAAAUCAAUUAUCAAAAUCCUUACCGAACAAGCUUUUAAUGGUAAAAGCCUAGUACUCGUAUUAUGACUAUAAAAGGGAGUCAUAUUCCCACUAUAUCUUUUAAUAAAUGCAUUACAUUUUGAUUAUAUUUAAUAUUAUUAAUCUUUAUUCAUCAUCAUGUUUAUAUAUUUAAACUUUUUUUCAUCAUAUUCUUAGGAUAUGCAAGCAUGGAAUUUACAUAAAAAGAAAAUAAUUGGUUAAAACUUAUUUGCAUUGGAUUGUCAAUUAUAUGUGUUUGAUUUAUUAAAUUUUUAACCUAAAAAAUGUUAUACUUUUUUCUUUUUUUCUUUUUUUGGUGGGGAAAUGAAAGAGAUGGGAAGCAGAUGAGAGAGAAAGAGAGAGGGUUACUUGAAAAUAUUUUUUUUGCUUUCAAGGAAAAUAUGGUCAUAUGAACAAAAGUAGGGAAAUGUUUGUCAUACCAAAAUAUCAAUCAAAUAAUACAAAAGUAGGAAUUUGGGUUAAAAGUAACAUUUUUCAUGGAAAAUGUUGGCAAUUAAACGCACAUUUUAACAUUUUUUUGAUAGAAAAUCUUAUCCUUAAUCAUGAUUUUCUUCCAAAAAUAUUCUUAACGUGAUUUAAAAUAAUGGUCAAAUAUCUAAUCACAUUUUUUGCAUUAUUAUUUGUUUUGUUUAUUUAAAAAAUAUAAUGAACUAAUGAGUUUUUUUACUCUAUUGAAAAUAAAAUUUUGGGAAGAAAUCAUAAUUAGAAAUAAUUUAUUUUAGAGCCUGUUUAUCUCCUACUAUAGGAGAAAUUAAAGAGUUUUGAAUAAUAUUUUUUGGAGAAUAUGUGGUUAAAAUUUAAAGAAAUUUUAUUGGUUUGUGUGUAGAAUAUUUUAUUGUGAGAAUAUGUGAUGGCGAAUAUUAUUAUAGCAAACAAUUUAAUUUGUUAAAUGAUGACAAACAAGGGCUUAAUUUGAGAAUAAGAAUACGAUGAAAAAAUGUGAGAUAUAAAUGUGACGUGUAAAGGUAAUUGCAUACCUUUUUAACGUUUCUAGUAAGCCCUUGUUUGAGCCCUAUUUUUUUGAGAAUAAUGAAUUUAUGAAUAGUGUAUUGAUGGAAAAUGUGUGGUGAAAAAUAAGGAAAAGUUCUGGAUUUACGUGUAGUAUUAUUUUAUUGAAGAAUGUAUUGUUGAAAUGAUGUCAAAAUACUGUUAAAAAUGUAUUUUUUCAAAAGAAUGUAUUUCAAACAAGGGCUAAAUUUGUUCUUAAUCUCUAUAAAGAACUUUACAAUCCUCAACAUGUAGUUCCCCUGGCAUGUUUUAUAUUGGUUAGAAAAAGAACUUUUCAAUCUUCAGCUUUUGUGUACCCGCAUUACAUGCACAAAGAUAACAAGUUAGAAUGUCAAAACCCUAAUUCCCUAAUCAAGAAAGUAAAAAAGGUCAACAAGCAGUGAAAAUCAAAUGUUCCCGGAUCCCAUAAAUAUUCUGAAGUGUAAAACCUUGAUCUUUCCUUCUCAUAAUCAAAUAAUCUCUCUUCUCCCCCAAUUCCUUGUGGCUUACAACAGUACACAUACUAGGAAAAAGAAAAGUAUAGACUAAUAUAUGUUUAGUAUAUCGAAAGAGAAGAAUGUGGGAUUUUUGUAGCAGACGAAACACUUCUUAGUAGAAUAUUUUUUAGUAUGUCAAAAGGGAUCACAUGUAUAGUAUAUUAAACAAGAUUAGAUAAAGACAAGUUUUGAAUCUCAAUGUAAUAAAAUCUAGAUUUUAAUCUAAUUUAAAGUCAAUAAUUAAUUUUGACCACAUGUUUUGUGGGAUCCAUAAUUUGUCAAACAUACAUUUUAUCAUUUUUUUUAUCAAAAUCUACUAAAAAUUUGAUUUUAAAUCUACCAAUCAAGGACAUAGUAUCAAUUCAAUGCAAGAAGUAAUGGUGAGUGGGAAAUUGUUACAGCUUAUUUUACUUUCCUUUUGAAAGCAAAAUCAAAUUCUCUUGAUUGAUUGGUGAAAUGUAUAAAAAAAUAAUAGAAACCCAACUCCUUAAUUUAAAAUAAGAAAAAAUGACUUGGCCUUCUACUGUUCUUCCUUCCUUGUUUGCCCAUUUUCUUCACGCAAAUUAUCCGGAAAUAAUGAUGUGGGUCCAUAGAAAUGGGUCAAUUUCCGUGCUGAUUCUUCCUCCUCUCAUUUUCUUUGGCCAGGCAACAAAUUUUCCAUGAAAAUUUUCCAUUUUACAACUUUUCGAUUGGUAUAAUUUUCUUGACAAUUGAUUUUCUCUACCCCCACCCUUUUUUCUUUGAUUUCGUGGAGUUUUAACCCGUUUGACCCCCAUUCUACUUCUCAUUAUUUUUUCGCUUUUAUUUUCAAUCACACAAUUUUUCAUAAAAUAAUAUUAUACGCAAACAAAAAACUUUUCAUUCCUUUUUAAUCACACAUUUUUCAAAAAAAUACUAUUUCAACCAUUGAAAUUUGAAAAUAAUGGGGCCAAACGGGGGCUUAAUUCCCUUGGUUUGGGUGGGAAAUCAGUUUCCAAUUUUAUUUUUUUUUUUGGAUAAUGGAAACAAAUUUUAUCUAUAAUUGUAACAAAUUCAAUCCCUUUAGUUGACAAUUUUAAUGGAAAACAAAGUCAAAUGAACACCAAAAGAUAAAAAAAAAUUAACAUUUUCGGGUGAAAAAUUAUAUUAAUCAAACACAUUUAAUUGGCAAUUUCAUUAAUUGACAAUUCCCAAUAAAACAAGUUCUAGACAAUUAAAUUUCUUGAAAUUUAUUUUCUUUCCAUCCAAAUUUCAUUCUUACAAUCAAACGGACUCUAGUGAGUUUGUUUUGAAAUAUGAAAAAUAUUUUCUCAAUAAAAUGAAAAGAAAAAUAUAGGUUAGACAUAAGUAUGAAUCAAUAUUCUAAAAUAAAAAGUACGAAGAACCGCUUCCCAUGAUUUCGAUUUAAAGUAUGCUUUUAUUCAUUGAUUAAGUAAAUAACUAUGAAGAACAAAGUAAUAUUUUGCUUUAAUAAUGUCCCCAUUUUCGAGAAAGGGGAAUACCAUAAUUUCUAAUAUAAAUAUAUUAAUUGAAACUUUAGAAUUAUUUUCAUUAAUCUAGAAUCGAUAGUACAGUCCUUGAAUCUCUGUAUAAGAAAAAACUAGUUUCUUAUUACUCAAAUAGUAUCAGUAUAUAAUAUAAAUGGAACCAUUCCUUACACACUUUUUUUGAGAAACAAUCGUGACAUUUAAUUUAAAUCAAUCCAACGCUCAAUAUCUUAUGGAUCUCAAGUGAUUACAACAAACUCUACCAUGAUUUUAGUGAUAUAUAUAUUGAACGUUGGAUUGAUUUAAAUUAAAGGUAACAAUUAUUUAUCAAAUAAGUGUGUCAAAUUUCUAAGUAGGAGCAACGGUCUCGUACUAUAAAACCUCUAUAGAAUAAUAAUGUUAGGACCAAGAAAAUUUAUUAUUUUAGAGAGGUUAUUAAUUUAUAGAGUUUUUUAUAUUUUUAUAACUUGUAUUAUAUUUUACCGUAAUACAUGUAGGAAAUUUUUGAAAACAAAAUAUUAAAGGUGGUGAAAUUCAAAAUUUAAUCUGUAAGCACACAGAAAGGCGCACACAACAUUUUUGAAAAAAAUGUUGUCAAAUUAAAAGUUUGUUAACUUAUAUUAAUAUGAAAUUUUAUGAAUUUAAGCAGUUAUUAUUUUACAUAUUCAUAGGGCCUUAAAGAAUCAUGAAAAAAAAUUAUCUAAUGCAUUUAAUGAGAUUAUUAAUUGUGGAAAUUACACAGCCACAUGUUUUUAAAGACUACAAUUCAAAAAAAAAAACAAAUUCAAGGUUUGGUUAUUCAAAAAUCAAGUGAUAAUUUCACAUUUCAAUAUUAAUAGAUAAUAUUAUAAAUUAAUCUAUAUAUAUACCCUUGUCCUCACCUACCCUACAAACCCUAAAUCAUUUUCACAAAUAUCUCUUCAUCCACUUCAUUUCUCGAUGCCUCUUUACCCACUCAUUCUCUCGCAACUCUUCACGGCCUGCAGCAACACUCGUGAGCCGGACGACAGGUACAGUAUGCAAUGCCUAGUAUCGCUAUAGUUAGUACGCAGUGGAGCCCCAUCGUCAUUGCACACGAAUUGUAGCAACAAAUGGGAUGUCGCUGCAUGCACAAAACAACGGUGAAUGAUUUGCCAUUGUGCACGAAGCAGUGACAACGUGAUGGUGUGAUGUGGUGUGGUGGUGAAUGGGGUGUUUGGUGAUGUGCUAAUUUAAGAGCUAUAUCGAAGUUUUUAGAUUGUCGCUAUGUGGCACUCAUCGUGGUGAUUUGAGCAUCGUGCAUGGUGGUGCUGAGAUUGUCUCUCUAACAACACUCACCAUGGUUUUGGUGUAAUUUCUUCUUGUUCUGAUCUAUUGCUUAGCCAUUAUCUAUCUUCUAGUGGAUUCAAGGUGGUGGAAGUGUCGAGUUUAGGAUUUUUUUUAUUUUUUAUUUUUUUUGUUGGUAGUUGUAGUAUGGUGAAAAUGGAGUUUGUGAUUGUUGGUGAUGGUGGUGAUGGCAGUGAUUGUUGUGAGGUGGUGGUAGCAUUGGCGAUGAUGGUGGUUCUGGUACAGAUGGUGGUGGAGAUAGUAGUAAUGUUAUUGGUGGCAGUGGUGUUGGUGAUAGGAUUAGGUUAGUUUGGAUUUGAAUUGUAUAAAGAGGGUUCAUAACCAAUUAUUUAGGUGAUUGUAACUAAUAAAAUGGUUAAUUUGUGACCAAUAAAUAAUAUGCAUUCGAAAAGGUACUUUGUAGUCGAGGAAUAAUACGUGGUUUAUUAAUUUGAUAAAUUGUGGUAAAGAAAUUGUAACCUAUAAAAUUUGUGAUUUGUGAUUGUGCAAUAAUACGUGAUCAAUUUUGCCCACGUCAUAUGUUUUUCUUGUUACAAGUUAUAAUCCGAGUAUCAAAGUUCAACGUGCACAUACUAUAGGUUACAUGUCAUUGUGUAUAGGUCGCAGAUCAAUGUUCAUAGGUCACAUAUCAAAUGGGAUUGGUCACAAAUCACUAAUUUAUAAUCACAGGUCACAGUUCAUCAUUCACAAUUUACGGGUCAUAUUGUAUAGAUCAAAUAUCAAUGAUAACUGGUCAUAGAUUAGAUUGUCACAUGUAUGUGUACUGAUAAUAGGUCACAGAUUCAAGUUCAUUGGUCAUAAGUCAUUUUUCAUAGGUAACAAAUCAAUAUUUAUUUGUCACAAAUCCAAGAAAAUUGGUCGCAUGCCAUUAAAUCAAUAUCACAUGUAAUAGAUCAACGUCUGAAGGUCAAAGAUCCAAAAGAACUGGUUACAAGCUAUUGGAUCAACAUCACAAGUAACAAUUUACAUGUAAUUUAAAUCACACGGUAAAAAAAUUACAAUUUACAUUGAAUUUGAUGAUAAAUCAAACUUUUGAAUCAAAUUUACACGACAUUGACGAACCAAUUCUCUAUGGUAGUUUAAAUCACGAUGCCAAUCUCAUUCCUUCAAUCAUUCUGAUGCCAGACGAUUGUCCAAAUUGAAGUUCAUUUAGAUAAUUCAUAAAUUCUCGUCGAUGUUUUACUAAAUUAAAAGUCCAAAUAAGUUGCUACACUUAAGAUGUUGUACUCAUAGAUCUUAAAUCAAGGGUCCUUUCAAGUCUGCACUACCACUGUGGUGUGAGAGGGAAUGACUCUGGGUGGAUGUCGAUGAUUGUGGCUAUGCGAGUUUGUAGAGAGAUUGGAGAGAGAGAAAGAUUGGAGUGGGUCAAGACAUUAUGAUGGAUAUUUAUUAUAUUAUUUAGAAAAAAUUACAUGACAAUAGGUCUUUAAGAAAUACAAUUCAUAAAUCAAGUAUAAAAUUUAUUUGUGCAACUAUCAGGUAUUAAUCUAACUAUAAAACCACCCACCCCCAAUUUCCCCACUUCCCAAACCCUAAUUAUUUCUUCUCACCAUUCUCUCUCUCUCUCUAUAUCCCUCUCUGUUCUCUCUUUACUGCUAGAGACAAUAACACACUAGAUACGAUGUCGCGUCGGCGGCGAUGCAACGUGACACUAGCAUUCGGCGAUCGCCUCCAUUCCUUCGACCGUAGCACACCAAUUGGAAGACAAGGCAACACCACUGGAAGACGACGCUGAGUGGCACCAAGAUACCGUUGCACGCUCUGUCGUUGCUAGUGGCGUCGAACAACGGUGCUGAAGCUGCUGCAAACUCAUGAGAAUAUGUACCUCAUUUUUGAAUUUUAAAAGUAUCUACUUGAUUUUUGAAUUGAGGUAAACUUAACGCUUGUAAUGUGAACUCUUCUCUAUUAUUUAUCAUCCGAAUUUGAACUUUUAAACCCUUUCUCUUAAAAUUGAAUUGGAUUAUGGUCAAACAUUUUCGCUUAAAAUCAAAUUGGACUAUAGUUAAGGCCUUACUUAUUUAUUAUUCCGAUAUUAAUAUAGUACACUAACUCAAGUCGAGAUUAAAAGAAUUUUAAUAUUGAAGCAAAAUUAUUAAUUUGACGAAUAUUCAUUUAUCAAAAGUUUCACUUAAGAUGAUGGGGUCCACAAAAUGGAACUGAAUGGGCCAGAGAGGCUGUACCCGCUAAAUUGCAGAGUUUGAUUCCUCCUCUCAUUUUCAAGUUGAAAUUUGCGAUUUAAAAUUGACUAUCUAACUUGUUGUCCAUCCAAUGAUUAUGACACAUUUCUUUUAAAUUAAUAUGUUUUACUUUUCUCCCAAUUGUGCACCGUAGAUAUCAAUUCCUCGUUUUCUUCGUGAGUUCGCCAUUUUUCUUAUGGAAAUAGAAUACUGACUGGCCCACAUGGCUGCUGCUGUAAAAUUCUGUAUUUGUCUACUUGAAAUUACUCAUCUUUACUUUUUUCUUAAUGACGUUCCAUUAUUUUGCUUCUUCACUACACUAAUUCAUGUGCCCAUGUUAAUUGAACAUUGGUGCUAAUUGAUUCUUUUUGUUGAUCAUCUACGCAUCAGAAUAGAGUUUGAUUAUUGUUUCAACUGAGUGUAAAUUUUUCUUUUCUGAAAAAAAUUGGGCUGCGUACGUUUGAGUGUUGUUUAGAACACUUUUACGGUUGUAGUAAUGAAUUUCUGAAUUUUAGUCUGCACAAAUAUGUAUUUUUAAGGCUGCUAAACUUCAUUUACUAGGAAGUUUAUGACUCUAAUUGGGAGGUUUCAAUUUGGAUUUUUAUUUUGAAAUUAGCACAUGUCAUACUCUAGAAUGGAUGUGAUCUGGGUUCUUUCAUUAUGGUUGUUACUCUCUUCUGGAGUGCUUUCAAAUGGGAUGAUUAAAAAUGUUUCUUCAAGACCAGCUGUUGUGAAGGUUGGAGCUAUUUUUGCUAUCGACUCAACAAUAGGAAGAGUUGCCAAGAUUGCUAUAGAGGAGGCUGUUAAAGAUGUGAAUUCUAAUUCGAGUGUCCUCCGUGGGACUAAACUGGUGGUGAAAAUCCAUAAUUCCAAUUGCAAUGGAUUUCUUGGUAUGGUCGGAGGUAAUCUAUUUUUCCGGCAUCUAGAAUUAUCUAAUUUGGCUGCUGUUAGAACUUAUUGAGAGAAGAAAACUGAAAAGAUGAGAAAUAAUGUAGUUUCUCAGUUACUGUUUCGAGUUCUUUAUGAUGUUACUAACAAUAUUAAACGUGAUGCUCAUCUUCAGUUAUCCAGGUUAUUAAUUACGGUUGUAAAANNNNNNNNNNNNNNNNNNNNNNNNNNNNNNNNNNNNNNNNNNNNNNNNNNNNNNNNNNNNNNNNNNNNNNNNNNNNNNNNNNNNNNNNNNNNNNNNNNNNNNNNNNNNNNNNNNNNNNNNNNNNNNNNNNNNNNNNNNNNNNNNNNNNNNNNNNNNNNNNNNNNNNNNNNNNNNNNNNNNNNNNNNNNNNNNNNNNNNNNNNNNNNNNNNNNNNNNNNNNNNNNNNNNNNNNNNNNNNNNNNNNNNNNNNNNNNNNNNNNNNNNNNNNNNNNNNNNNNNNNNNNNNNNNNNNNNNNNNNNNNNNNNNNNNNNNNNNNNNNNNNNNNNNNNNNNNNNNNNNNNNNNNNNNNNNNNNNNNNNNNNNNNNNNNNNNNNNNNNNNNNNNNNNNNNNNNNNNNNNNNGCUUGGUUAUAUUGUUAGCUAAUCAUUAUGUUUACUUGUGACAGUUCUUUGAUGGGGUUGUUGGUGACAUUGCCAUCGUGACAGAUCGGAAAAGAAAUGUAGAAUUUACACAGCCAUAUGCUGCAUCUGGACUUGUUAUAUUAGUCCCAGUUAGGGAGUUGAAUACAGGUGCUUGGGCUUUCUUAGGACCGUUUUCUCCUGCACUAUGGGGUGUUACUGCUGCUUUAUUUCUUAUUCUUGGAAUAGUUGUAUGGGUUUUGGAGCACCGAAUUAAUGAUGAGUUCCGCGGUCCACCAAAGAAGCAACUGAUAACCGUUCUAUGGUGAGUUCAAUCAUACAAGAUUUGAUAGGGAAUACGUAUGUUUAUUAAACUACCAUCCAAAAUAGCAACUGAUGACUGUCAAAUUUAUCGAUCUAUUUUCCGAGUUAAAAUUCUUUUGUACUGGAACUAAUAAAUUUUAAUAACCAGCUUAAUUCUGCAUCCAUGUUAAUAUCCCUAAUACCCAAUUGGUAGAACUUCCUUUCAGUUACUCUUGAAGUUAUGAACUUCAAGAAUGGAGUAAAAGACAUCUAGCACCAUUCUUCGAGUCCACUGUCAAAGACCAUCUGAACUCAUGCCUCCUGUUGUUCUUCAGUUACCUUUCUCCUGAUAUUAAUUAUUAGUUUUUGGAGAGUCUACUACUUGGAGAAAAACCUUAAUCAUGUCAAGUUCUUUUGAUGGACAAAAGUACUUAAUAAAACUGCAUGGAUGUAUGCCAACUCUCUUCCUUGGCAGGGGGUCCUUUUUCCUGGAUGGAUAAAAGGUUACUUCUGAAUAAUUGAUUAAUUUCCUUGAUGUAAAAACGUCAAAAGUAGCUGAUUUUAUCACAAUAUGUCAAAAUUUACGAAUUCUUGUAGCAUAACUGGUUAGAUAAUGACCUUUAAUUUUUUUGGUUGUCUGAGCAUGCUGUUCUAUUGCCAUAUUGGUGUCUGAGCCUCUGAGAAAAGGUAUGCAGUGUUUUGAUAAUAGAAAGAUGCAUGGUCAAUUACCAGUAUUUCAACUUUUUGUGGAGUCUGAUGGUUUAGUUUGGGUUUGUCAUUCUUGACCAAAAGAACAGCAAACAGUUAUGAAGAACCGGUUUCUCACACCCUUUUGCCUGCUUCUCCUGCAGGUUCAGCCUCUCAACCCUAUUUUUAUCACACAGUAAGUGAAAACUAUGUCGGUGAAUAUUUCUUGUAAUAUUUUUCCACUACAAUUGGUUCCUGAUAGAUAGAUUUAACCUUCUGAUGCUUUACUUUUUUGCAGAAGAGAAACCGAUGAGUACUCUUGGGCGUAUAGUGCUGAUAAUAUGGCUUUUUGUUGUCUUAAUAAUUAACUCAAGUUACACUGCUGGUUUGACCUCUAUCUUCACAGUUAAACAGCUCUAUUCUCCUAUCAAAGGAAUCGAAAGGUUAAAAGAUGGUGAUGAUCCUAUUGGAUACCAAGUGGGUUCUUUUGCAGAACAUUAUCUGACCAAUGAAAUUGGUAUUCCUAAAUCCAGGCUUAAAGCCCUUGGAUCCCCAGAAGAGUACGCCACUGCACUUCUAAAGGGUCCGAAAAAAGGUGGUGUUACUGCAGUUGUCGAUGAACGUCCAUAUGUAGAGCUUUUCUUGUCAAGCCAUUGCAAGUUCAGGAUUGUUGGUCAGGCAUUCCCCAAAAGUGGCUGGGGUUUUGUGAGUAACAUCUAUUGUUCUGCUUGCGCAUUUGUGCACUUUGACGAAGAUAAUGUUUGUUUAUUUCGUUGUCUUCUAUUUGUUUCCCAGUGCCCUGUGAAACCUGCUUAUGAUUGGACUAAAUCCAGUUUCAAAAAUUCCUCGAUGGCUAAUUUCUUGCAUCUUUAUGUAGGCAUUUCCACGGGACUCCCCCUUGACCAUUGACUUAUCAACAGCAAUUUUAACACUAUCAGAAAAUGGAGAUCUCCAGAGACUUCAUGACAAGUGGGCUACGAAAAACUUGUGCACUACAGAUGAUACCAAGAUUGAAUCAAAGCGUCUUCACCUGAGAAGCUUCUGGGGCCUAUUUCUUAUAUGUGGGAUAGUUUGUUUUCUUGCUUUCGUUAUAUACUUGUGGCAGAUUAUUCACAAGUAUCGGGAAUCUGUCGCUGUUGAAUCUGCUUCUAAUGGACAGGUUACCUCACAUUCUAGACGCCUUCAAACUUUAAUAUCAUUAAUUGAUGAGAAGAAGGAUCAAUC